CCGUUUCCUCCCGAAAUAUCUAGAUCCCCAAAUCUUGGACACCUAGGCUUCCUGUGCUUUAUUCUCUUGUGAUGUCCACUGCUAGUUCUUCUGCAUCCGACCGCCAUUGCCUAACUCCAGCUUACCCACUUCCCCUUGUGCUCUUCCCCAGGUGUCAUCAGUAGGUUCUGGUGCUCGUCUCAAAGAAGCAUCCUCAUGACGGUUGGGUGUUCUACAAGUGCCACAUGAACAGAGUAAGCUCUUCUUCUUGAUCCCUUUCAGGUUUUGGUUACGCAUCCUGGCACGACAUUACUAAUUUUCUUCAUGGUUGCUUAUUUUCCCCAAUUACAGACUGGUUGUAAAUUCUAGCAUUGGGGCUACAGUGCGUGGAGUAUCUGAUUCAGCAUCGGUACCUUGUAGGUGAAGCUGCUGCUGAUGCACUACUGUACAUUAGAGCUAAAAGGGAAGGGUUGGAGCGAGGGAAAGUGGCAAAAGCAACCAUUGCUACAACCAGCAUCUGCAGCAAUGGCGCUGAUGAUGUCGGGCCAUUGAGGAUGACGAAUGCUUUGUUACUGAUAGCAAGAGAGAUGUUAUUCCUCAUGAAGUUAGGCCUUGCUCAGGGUUUGGUGCUCAGGGUUUGGUGCUAUGCUUUAUGAUGCUUUUUGUAAUGUUGAUGAAAUAAUAUCAUCAGUUGCAUUUGUACUCCUCGGUGUAUCAUUGUUUGCCAGCGAUUAAUCUACGGUGGCAUUUCUAUCAGUGUUGUAUCAGACGUUCGAAAGCUCCUUACGUAUUGCUAAUCUCGUUCUUGAAGUGAGCCUAAAUAAAAAAACGCUGAUGCGGAGCAUCCUAUGGUCAUCCCCAUGGACCUACCAUCAUCUCACCAAAUGCCAAGAGGACAGAUGACACAAGCUAGAGCUAGAGCUCUCAAAACCGAGGUGACAUCUCUCCUUAUUGAUAUUCCAUAUGACCCACUCGAGACAUGACUACUACCUAAGUCCGGAACGUUAUGCAUGAUGAGGUAUCAAGAGAACCCUCUCUGAGAUGUACAUGAAGAUGGACAAGUCCCCAAGUACAAGGAUGAAGAGGAACGACGGAAAGGACCGAAGACAGCUCCCAAGACCCGGACAUCCGGCCCCAGCCGCCCCUGGAACGUGCAGCCUGGCCAAAGGCCAACAGCCUCAAGCUACAGGGCCCGGACAUCCGGCCCAAGACCCUGGACAUCUGGCCCCCGGAGGUGUCACCAGCAGCAGCCCAGCCGACAAGCUACAGGGCCCGGAGAUCCGGCCCGACGCGUGCCCCGGACAUCCGGCCCCAGCCCGGAAAUCCGACACUCUUCACAGAACGCAACCAAGGCCACCCCGGACAUCCGGCACCCUCAGCCCGGACAUUCGGCCCGACAUGAAGGCCCAGACAUCCGGCCCCUGUCUGCGCAUAGUGUAACAAGCCUCCGGCCCAUGUAUCACUGCAAUUCGCCCCAACUUCGUCCUAGACUAUAAAUAGACCACCUCCUCCUCUUGUUAGGGUUAGCAUUGUCUUAGCUCAUUUUGGAGAUUAGAGCAUUGCUCAUCCACUUGUACCCCUACUCCAUUGGAGACCAAGGCCUCCUAGGAGAAGAUCCCCCAAGUGGAUUCAAGACCCCGUCAAGGGAAGAUCCCCUCAUGAAUUCAAGACCCCAUCUCCUCAUGUAUUGGGAAGACCUACCGACUGCUUGUAUCGUCCCUUGUUGUGUUUGGAUCCUGUGUCUUGUUGUACUCGGAUCUAGCACGUGUAAUCGAAUCUCGUUGAUUUGAGUGGUUUCCUCUCAUUUCCCUCGUGUUUUCCCCUCGUGUAUUCUUCGUGUUCUUCGCGGGAUCCGCUCCAAUCAUGAAAGAUCGGCCUCUAGGGUUCCACCCUACAUCAAACGCCCUACAAAUUAAGAUAUCUAGCUCUUACAAAUCAUGUUGACAGGAGUCUUGAAAUACUCCACGAGGGGAUAUUGAUAUUCAGUACCAUAUGGAAUUUAGUGCCAUAUGUCUCUAAACAUAACAUAGUUCGACGUCAUAUAUUUCAUGGCAGAGGGGGCAACCCCCAUGCCUAUCAUGUUCACUUUAAAUUUAACAGGCUCUACGCGAUCCCUACUCGCAACUCAUCAGCAGUACGCCUCUCUUUAUGAAACUCUGCAUAGUCCUCCAUUAGCUUGGUAAUGAGUUCAUUAUUCUUCUCCAGCAUCUGACGGAGACUUCCUAUCUGCUUGUUAUGUCCCACAAGAAAAAUGCUCGCAGUUCUGCCAGUUCAUUCUCCAGCUUCUUAUUGUGUGCCAACACUGCAUUGAAAAGAUUCUCCAUGGGAUCCACCCUAGAAUAAAGCACGCCCUUCAAAAUAGAAGUUAAACCAUUACAGGAUUAAGGCUUGUUUGUCAACUUGAGCUUGUCUAUUAACUUGAUGAAUGCACUGACGAUAAGGACAAGGCUUCGUAGAUCCAAACGGAAUACGGGUCGUCCAGAAAUACGAAUACAAGUUACAAGCACGCACCUUGAAGCUUGAUUCGUUAGAGAUUUCCCCGUGCAUACACGGCGGUAUGUCGAGCUUGCGACUCCGCUCGCUUGUUGGGUUGGUGUUGGUGGGGGUGGUUUGGGGUCCAGGUUUGUGUGAGGGUGGUGUAGGAGAGGCUGAGAGAAAUAAUCGAUAAGCAUCAAACCUGGCGUCGCAUUAGAUAUUACCAACGCAUACACGCUAGGUGCAUUAUCAGUGCAACCAAGCCGAAUGGCCGGAUAAACGCAAGCAUGAAUGUAUACACACCAGGUGCAUUGUCGUUUCAACCAAGCCGGAAUGCCUGAUAAACGCAGACAUGAAUGUGUACACACCAGGUGCUUCAUUGCAACUAAGUCGAACGGCCUGAUAAAUGUGGGCAUGAAUGUAUAGACGACAGGUGCAUUGUCAUUGCAACCAAGCUAGACGGCCUACAUGACUGAUCCCGGUGGGCAAAAUAUGGCGAUGUUAUGCAAAAUAAGUCGAUCAAAUUUGAGAACCAUGAAAGCAUUAGUACAUUGCAUGACGCCACAAAUUCAUUGACAGUGAUACAAGAGCUGGUCCAGGUAGAAGACCAACAAAAUAUGUAAUGAAGAGGUGGCAUAUAGUGCUAACCAAGCAUCAUUGCACAAACUAGUAACUUAACCAUCACCAGAGAGUACGAAAGGUGAUGACCCGGUUAGUACAGCUUCGUGUUUCAUUGAUUUCAUGUAAGCAUUGUCGAACCCCAUGCUUCUCUCAUCUCGUGAACAUCAUUCAUAGUCGCUUUGAUAUCCUCCUCCAUGGAGUCCAUCUUAGCCUCGAUUCCACGGCGAUCAUUCCUUAGCCUCUGAUUCUCCUCACUGAGCAUCAUUACCACCUGAUGAGUCAACUUCAUGGACUGGCCCAUCUCUUCUAUUGCAUGCAUGUGUUUAGCAAUGUCCUGCAAGUACAGACCACGCAGCUCCACCAAGUCAUCGGUGAGCUGUUUAUUCUCUGCCAAGGCCAGUUUCACUUGGCUGUCAAGGUAAUUCAACCAAAAAUUUAUGGUUUCCUACCAAGAAGACAACAUAAGCAGGUUGUUAUUGAUAGAAUACAACUACCAUUGAACCACGACAAUACACGGGUUAUAAGGAAUACUCACCAUGUUGCUAGCAUAUCAGACAGAGGAAACAGAUCCUGGUCUUAGGUCAUGGGUCCAACGUUGGAGACUUGGUCAUGGGCCAUUACCUAGCAAGCAUGAUAUCAACCCCAAGUGGUGGUUACUCUUAGAUCUUAGAUAAUGGAUAGAACGUAAUGUACUUACCACCCCACCCACACCCCCGGCAUUAAGAUGCAAGGCACAUACCAUGAUAGUUGUCUCGCCGGAGAUCUCCCCCUCCACUAACGGUGCAAUGAACUUGUAGCCUAAUCAUGUGCCCGGCUUCGUUGUGAGCAGGUAGAAGUUGUGGUUGACACAAUUCAAACUUGCUCGAGCAUGGGCAUACCAGGAACUCAACAAUCGUCUAUAAAUGAAACAUCGUUACCAAAAUCACCAAACGGUGAUGGACCAAGCGUACUGGCAAGACACUCGUCCGCAAAGGAAAGAUCAGAAAGAGCGUUACCAUCGUCCUCAAAUAAGAUGUUGUUUGGUACGAAGGGGGGACCGGAUCCGCAAUUUAGCUACCACAUGAGAAUUGAUUCACGUACGUAUGCUACGCAAGAACAUGACUAACUAUUGUCAGUGUUCAAUACAGCAGGAGUGGAGCCAGAUCUAAGAUAACUUUCUCGUUAACUAAACUAAACACGGUACAAAUUGAAAAAUAAACAGGGUUCUACUGACAAGCCUACAUGUGACCUUAGGAAUGACCCAACUAAUUCCACCGUUCAGCGGGCAAAAUUGAAAAGGUUUGGCGAUUACGCUCACUUACUUCCUCCCACGGUUGAUUCUCACGGGAAACCGUAGCCUCUGUACACAUUUCAUGCCGCCUGGACUAUUUACGAUGCUGACGACAGGUCGGUGCCAGCUUAGGGUGGGCGAACAGCUGUACCGCCGACCAGCUGGCGAGGCCUAAGAUGCCAUGGGUGGGGUACAUGAGUUCAAACUUGUUGACAACAUCAUAUAGCAUCGCCGAGCCAUGGGCAUGGAAGGAGAGUGGCUACUCCACAGUGACAACAUCUAUAAUUGGAGCAGGCUCUACAAAUCCCUCAGGUAUGUUGUAACAAUGCAAGUCAACCAUCUGAAAUGCCUUGUAUUCUUUGAUCAUCUUCCGAACUGUGGAAUCAUUGGUUAGUUCUGCCAUGGUCAUCCUGCCACCUAUGUUCCACCUUAACCACCCACUUAGCCCAUCCUCGUCCUGCACCUUGACUUUAACAUCCUCCGGUAACUUCAACUGAACCUAUUCAUGCCACUAAACUUCCACAUGAUCCUGUCACUUGGCAUCACCCUGCUUCGAUAGUAGAUAAAAUAAUUUUGGCCUAACUUGUGCUGCACCAAUUGUUCCUUCAGAUUUUUAACAGUGAUUGAGUCUUCCAGCCAUGGCUCAGGUGCUGGUUGACAGAAAGAUGCUUUAUGCACAAUGAACCUAACCAUCCAUGGCUUAUCAAUCUGCAGUAGACAAUAUAAACAGUUCAUGGACCCACUAACUCGCAGAAGAGGUUCAUGAUUCAUCUCAGCACACAAAAAAACUUGCCCUCGAGGCAGAUAGGCAGAUCGAAAAAGGGCCCAAACAGAUAUUCUAAAACACUAGGGCCACGGACUUUGUACCUACUCACAGAGUCCAUCGUUCUUCUCAUCACACAAUAAACACUUGCCCUAGAGGCAGAUCGGAGGGGGGACGUCACCAGUGUUACUUGUAACACAAGGAGUUGAUGGCGUCAGAGAAGACAAAUACCUGCUUGCAGCUCCUAUGGCCAGAGGGUUUGGCGACGUCCUUCAUAAUAAGGAAUGGUGACAUCUUUCCUUGUUGGUACGCGAAGAAGCUCAGGUGGGCAAACUGGGAAGGGAAGAAGCUCAGGCAGGAAGAAAUGAGGGAUUUCGCGGGCGAAUGGGGAUGGGUGGACGCAAGGGCAAACAUAUUUAAAGAGACCAAACGCGCCUAUGAAGCAUCACACAAUUUAUUAGAUGAUUUGCCAUGUGUCAAUAUAUUAGACUAUCUGGCAAAUAAGAUGCGUCAGUCUGUCCAGCUGGUCAACGGGACAAUGAAGGUAUCUAGAUAAAGUCAGGCACUCCGGUAUUGUAAGUAUAAACGCCUAGGGAAAAGACAUGUCACUAAUAUAAGACGCCUAAUCGUAUGACGUGAUAGUAAACACGCCGUUUCAUUGGGCGCGUCAUGUCGGCGUCACGCUAGCGGCAUGAUCGACGAUCGUGGACCGUGAGUGGUCAAAGGUGCCUUUGGUCGGUGUUGCGACGUACAAGUGACACGCNNNNNNNNNNNNNNNNNNNNNNNNNNNNNNNNNNNNNNNNNNNNNNNNNNNNNNNNNNNNNNNNNNNNNNNNNNNNNNNNNNNNNNNNNNNNNNNNNNNNNNNNNNNNNNNNNNNNNNNNNNNNNNNNNNNNNNNNNNNNNNNNNNNNNNNNNNNNNNNNNNNNNNNNNNNNNNNNNNNNNNNNNNNNNNNNNNNNNNNNNNNAAUAAGUGUUUUGGGGGUUCAGUGGGUGACACAAAACCCUCCAGGGAUCAUUUAGUAAAAAUAAUACGUUGUAAUGUGCUCGAGGCAUCAAUGGUGGAGCUAGCUCCCGGCGACCUGGGGCAGCUGUCGGGCUGCUCCAGCCAUUCUUUACUAAACAAUACAAAGAAAUCAUAAGAAACCAUGAUUAGCAUUACUAAUUACUUGGGCAAAUGCGGGACAACAACGCUGUGUAAAGACUUUGCCCCGGCUCCUUUAGCUCGCUGGCUCCACCACUGCGAGGCAUUGUCUUAGUUUUUAUAGAAAAAGUCUCUAAGCACCACCACUCCAGACUCGAACGAGGGUGGGCUAGCUCGCUCCAUGCGAGCCCAACUAGCACGGUGACAUCAUAUGUUCACAUGAUAUUUUUCCUAAUACUCCUUAUGUUCCUAAAUAUAAAUUUUUUAAAAUAUUUCAAUAUAAACUACGUACUGAUGUAUAUAAACGUAUUUAGUGUGGAUUCACUCAUUUUCCUUCGUAUGUAAUUUUUAUUGGAAUCUCUUAAAAGACUUAUAUUUAGUAAUGGAGGGAGUAUGUAUUAGUGCUUUUUUUAAUAUGGAUUAGGGAGACAAGAGUGAGUGGGGCGUUUCUGCUCCAGGCUCAGCCACACCCGUGUUGACAAAAAAAAAUCAAAACAAAUACUAGAAAAAUUCAAAAAAAAUCAGUUUUUUUUGUGUGGUAGAUAAUUUGAUGUGUGAGGUCCGCUGAAAACUUCAUCUCAUUUGGACAUUUGAGUAACUCUCGGCAGAAAAGACAAAAUCGGGGUAUGUAAAAAAAAUCACUGUUCAUAUUGUUUUGACCCGAUUUAUUUUCUUUUUUUUGCCAAGAGCUGCUAAGAUGUCCAAAUGGGCUGAGAUUUGAAGCGGACAUCAAAUUACCUACCGGACAAAAAAAUGGAUUUUUUUUUUAAUUUUUCUAGCAUUUGUUUUGAUUUUUUUUUCCUGAGAGCAGAUGAGCCUGGGCACCGAGUUGGAUUUUCGGGAUUUUCGGGCAAGAGUAUGUUUUAGUGUUUUUUCCUAAUAUGGAUUAGAGAGACAAACUAUUUUUGAAUAUGGUCGGCCACUCCAGAUAUCGAGCGAACGGUCAACUUGGUCUUCCAAAAUUGUUGACCUAUCCCUUCUUUGGCAGAUCAAGAACCAAAUUAUUUUGGAUAUGAAAUUUCGGUUCAGUUAUUAGUUUUAACUAAACAGAACUGAAGUAGACUGACAGCACAACAACAGUUUUAACUUAGCAUCCCGUCUUUUAUUCCACUUCCAAUUGGGAGCAAACGGGGUCCACUGCCCUAGCAGGCAGCAACUCUCUUUAGUCUUUACAUUGCAAGGUUAGGUACAAAAUAAGCCUGAAACUGAAAAUCGCCGUACGGUCGUGCAUCACCAUCCAUAGAUGGAACAGAGGGGAGUUUGACGCGAUUCGCAUCAGCCUCGGUUCUGUACAGUCCUGGAUCAAGUCGACUUGUCAAUCCUCCCAAUGGUGUUCUGUCUUGCGUUUCGUAGGAUGGUUUUAUCUACGGUGAUGAAGAAGCCAGCGAUACAGGCUGUCCAAUAAAAACAAGGAUAUUGUUAUAGUAAACUCCCAAUUUUGUGUUGCGUGAGCAUGGCAAACAAGAAUGAUCAUCUUUCUGAGCUACAGAUGAAGCAAUAGGCAUGAUCCUUGAACAAAUGGCUAUGAUCGAUCUGAAGUACGAUAGCAACUUCUAUUGUGUGAAGCCCUGCCAGCAACUUGAUACUAAUCUCAUCGGGAUAGCCAAAUCAUUCAGUGCGAAUAAACAGACAUAAUCGCAUAAAUCUAGCAAAACAUGUGGAGUUUGCAAUGAUUAAUUUGCACCUUAAACGAAGGAAUAAUUAGUAGAAGCGAAAAUCCAGUACCAGAUAUUGUUCACGAACUCACUAGUUGAAUUAAGAUUUAAGCGGUGGCCCUUGUGUAAAUUAUUAACCUCUAAACAGACAACGAAAAAUGUUGCAUCUACGGUCAAUUCUAAGUAGGAAAAAAUUGCACUGGAUCUGGUCCAGACUGCAGCAAUAGGCUGGGCAUUCGGUUAGACUGAACGAUCAGUGUGGUUCUUCAGUGGUGUCAGAGGCGUGGAUCUCAUCUCUUAGUCCAUCAGGGAUAACUACUUCCUCCGUUCCUAAAUAUAAGUCUUUUUAGACAUUUCAAAUGGACUACAACGUAAGGAUGUAUGUAGACAUAUUUUCGAGUGUAGAUUCACUCACUUUGCUCCAUAUGUGGUAACUUGUUGGAAUAUCUAAAAAGGCUUAUAUUUAAAAACAAAGGGAGUAGCAAAUAUGCCCGUGCGAUGCAAAGGGAUAAAAGGUAACUCGGCACCAUCGUACUAAAAGAAUAUACUGCGUGCAAGGCACAAGAAUUGGUCUCGGCAGGUGUGGCAGAGAUAAAAGAACCUACAAGAGUUCUCGAGCACAAACGUUCAUUGAUUUGCCUUCCAGCGAGAUUUGCUCUUGCACCAUCAGGUUGCCCUACGCAGAGUCAAUGCAUUUCUUAAUAUUUAGGCUUACAUGGAAAUUGUUGAUGUGGUCACGCCUAAGAUCCUGCUUUUAACCUGCUAAUCUCUCUCUCCAUACAGAUAUGUCCAUUGGCCAAUGUGUGUUUUCUCGGUCGGAAGUUCCAGUAACAUAUCUAUCUUUUCAGUCUGUCGGGGAUAUACCCCGAGGUAUGACCCGGCCGGAUAUAUGACCCGGCCAAGACUUGGCGCUUCACCGGUAACCCGCCUGAAGGUUGGCGACUCACUGGUCUGGCGACUCACUAAUGACCCCGACGGCGGGUCAGAUGGAUGACAAGGCCCAAGGCCCAGUAGGCCGGCUCAUGUUAUGGUAGGCCCGCUUUAGAGGAAAAGGCAUAAGGAAUAUUCCCUUACAAAGGAAGCAAAAAUAGGACUCCACUUGUAAUAGAGUAAUCAUAAUCCUACUAGGACUAGUUAUGUAACCCGCCCCUUCAACUUAUAUAAGGAGGGGCGGAGCACCCCAAGAGGGACAAGUUGAGGCAGACAAGUCAAUAGCUCUCGAGAUAGAGGUAGCGAAAGAGCACCCUUGUAAUCGUGAGCAUCGUCAUCAUGAAUAUCAAUGAAGCAGGAUGUAAGCUUUUACCUCCACCGUGAGGGGCCGAACCUAGGUAAAACCUCGCGUCCCUCGUCCCGUUCAACCCCUCUCAAGCUACCAGUUAGAUGCGUUGGCCUCGCGACUAAGUCCUUUUCACCAGGACAUCUGUCGAGGCAAAUGUCGUUACCGUUUGGAAAAAAUUGGAUGAAAAGAAUAAAGAUGAUUGCAUUGAUUUGAUUAUGUGAACGCAGAGAAGAGAAUAAUAUAUGUAGAUACGAUGCCAAUUUAACGUACCGAGAACUAAAAAUGCAAUCAGGUCCAGGUCGUGCUAAUGUUCGCGUUGAUCGAUUACCACUCAGAGAAUGGCGGCUGCCUUCCUCCGCAACCUUCUCCUGGCCUCGGCAGAGCAACGCCUCUGCUUUACGCCAGCACGUACAUGCUGCUCGCCACCUCCUUCCUCCUCCACGCCGAUGAUGACACCUACGUCAUUGUGUAUUCUUUCUAUGGGUCACCGUUGUGGGACCCCGAUCCUGUCUUUCGUGCACCAGUCUGGAGCUGGCCACUCUCGGCCUACGGUCAUCAGGCAAAGAGUCUCACGCACUGGAGCUGCCCAUUGGCGCGGCAGGCAGCGGGACCGUCAAGUUUUACAAGCUGGCGCACGCCCUGCUGAUGGCCCACAUGCCGCUCCUCGUUGACUAUAGGUGCAGCUGCUCAAGGUCUUUUGUGCCUUCGACCACGACAACAAAGGCUACAUCUCCGCCUGCCAAGCUCACGUGCUCCAUGGCGAGGCUGGGCCAGCCGCUCAUGUUUGAUGUUUGAUCACAUUUGACGUUUGAUGUGCUCAGGACCAUGACGCAUAUCGGGAUAGGUUGGGGGACACCUUGGUGGCCAGCCGGACACAGUGCGUCGGCGGCGGCAGUGACGGGCACAGCAGGUCUCGAGCUCACCGCCCGCUUUGCACCCUUAGCCUGCGGUCGACGAACAACGAGUCUCGCGCGCUGCUGCUGGCCAUCGACGACAACACCGAGAACUGCGACACCUUGAUGCGGGACGCAGCCGCGGACUUCCUGCAUGGGGCAAGCAGACAAGGAAGAAAGAAUAGGGGUCAUGUGUCAGCGAAGGCGGAGAGGAAGAGUCUGUCUCAGCUCGGAGUACUGCCUGACGACGGACGAAAAAAGAGGCGCGAGCGUCGAGCGGGUGCGCCCUCGUAACACGAGAACAACGGGGAGGCAUAAGGCUGGCGGCAGUGGGGAAGCCAAGCUUCAAUAGGAACUUGCAAUUUCCUAAGGCUAGGAGCGUCAGGCGGCUACCCUCGCCACGCGAGAACGACGGGGAGUCACGACACGAGAAUGACAGGGAGUCGUGACGCACGGUUUCUCAGUGCAGUGGCGUGGGGCGUUCGGGCGAGACGAACUAAGAAGACUCGGACCUUAUUUUUCACUUGCUGGUGGCAUUGGGGUAAAUUUUGGCAGCUCUAGGGGCAAUUGCAAUGACGUAUGGAAAAACAGGACAAAUCAAUCCUGCCUUUAAUAUUAUUAAGUGUGAGAUUAGUAAGGAUAUCUUUUUGUUAGGGAGGUGACUGGUUCAGCUAGAAAGAUAAAGAUAUCGUCUCUGUUAGGGAACUCGAAAUUCCAUUCUUAGGCAUCAAUCGAGUCUUCCCUAAAGGGACACCAUGUGCCACACAAGGAUUAUGGAAUAGAUGAAACUGAAAUAGUAAAGAUCUAAUCCCCGCCCCCAACCUUCUCUCUCUAUCAUCCCCGACACUAUGGUUGGCCAACCUUCGCACCUCGGAGCCCCACUGUGUCAUGUUCAUCGGUCUUAGGACCAGUAUCAAUCCUAGCACGUGACGACUUGGUAUCAGACAUACUGGUCCUCGGCGCAUCCCACCACCGACCUCCAAGGCCUCCCUUCCAUAGAUUGUCAAGCUCCUAGACAAGAAGCUCUGUGCUGAAGAAGGAAUUUGAGGCAGAUAUUGAAGAACCCAAGGAGCAAGCAGCAGCCAACAGGUUGUCAUUGCAUGCCUGGAGAAGGGCAGCCCUAGUCAGACCUUCAACAAGGACAAGCACAACUGCUGCAGUUCCUCCUCUGAUCUAGAGGACCACGCCUACGCCUACCCCUACGAAAGCAGCAAAAUCGGCACCUAAUACAAGCCGAUGAGUGCGACCUACAACAGCAGCGGAGGAACCUCCAGCAGUAGAGAUGGAGUGCCCUCCAGAGGCAGCCAUGCCACCAAUCGGAAGGGCAGCAACACACACAACAACAGUGGUAGCAGAGUUCUCUCCGGUUGGGGUAGUGGAGCAUCAGUAGAUUGCUCCCUCCCCAGUAGCAACGACCACUCCUCUUCCCAAGCCACCAGCAACACCUUUGUUUCCUGCACUGCUCCUCCAUAGGACAGCAGCAGCAUCAGAGUUCAUUGUGGCUGCAGCAAAGGAUGAGCCACUCCUUGCAACCCUCGCUCCAAAGCCUAAGGAUAAGCUUGGGACUUGCUAGUCGUGUGUGGGGUGUAGACGAGGGAGAAUGCCAAGCUCCAUCGCCCACUUGGCAAUCUGCCCAGCGGCGUCCCGGUUGUUGAGACCUCAAUAAUCAGGACGCAGCUGAUCAUUGGAUUGGAUGCGGUUGAAAGUAGUGGACCAUCUUGCGAGAUGCCAUGAACACCCUAUAGAUGAUCUUGUAUAUCUGUGGGUACCGUGCCUUGGACUCGGAAAGCACCUUGCAAGAGAUCCCGAUGAGUAAGAGUAGUGUGGCGUCGUGAGUCUCCACUCGACAUGGUUCGCCUAUGGCAUAGAUGGGCCUCAUUAGAGUUUAUUUGCUUUCCGUUGUAAUGCUACUCUAUUUGAACCAGUAGCUCUGGCUACUUGGAGUUUAUUGGGGAUCUCCCUGUCUUCCAAGGGACCCCGCAGAUAGAUUCCUCAAGAGAUUGCAGUGACGCGUGGAAGUGGCAUGUCCUGUCCAUCAUCUCACUAAAAGUGGCACUGCUGCGCCAAGGACGACGUUGAGGAGCGGUCAGUGACCACGACAAGAUCUCACUUUGUCCACUCCCGCGCUUACGGUUGUUACUCCUAGACGACCCGGCUGCCCUUGGCCUUCGUGGACUCGAAUUGGUCCUUGCUCUUGCCCUUGCCGUAAUUCAUCUUGUUCCGGACAACUUCUUCACCGGUAGCGUAGCUGUUGGCGAUGUCGAAGAGCUCACGAGUUGUCCGGGGAGCCUUACAUGCCAUCUUGUGAUUGAGUUCCUUGCUCUUGAGGCCUUCCUCGAGGAGUUCUUCACCUUGGAUAAGCUUGGAUGUAACUCCUGAGGAUCAGUUAGGUCUAAUAAUUCCUACGCUUGUUGUAGGUACCUUGGAAGUUGUUGACGAAGAAGGUCUUGAGGACUAUCCAGUCCUUGAUGUUGUCCUAAGGCAUAAUGGUGAGCCAGGCUAGAGCCGAGUCUACCCAAGUUCAAGGACAGGUGUCGGAUCACGACGUAGGCGUUGCCGCCAGAGGGCACGCACGCACACCAUGUGAUAAUCAACCAAUCAGAUAUACGGCAGCGCCUCACCUGUGCACUUGUCGAUGUCGUUGACUCGAAAAUGUGGUCGUGGUAUGUCGUGCAUACGACCAUCAAUGGGAUCAUGGUGAUCCCUUUUGGUUCGAGCACAAAGAGAAGAAUUAGCAGAAACGCACAAAGUUUACCCAGGUUCGGGCCGCUGUGAAGCGUAGAACCCUACUCCUACUUUGUAUAUUGGAUGUGUAUAUCCAGUUACAAGGAGCGCACGUCCGGCAAGGUGCUCAGGAAAUGCUGCUACCCGUGCAAACGGACAGGGUUUCGACCUUUGUCAAGGUAGCCAUGGGCCUCCUUUUAUAGACCAAGGGGUCACCACAGUGGCAAAAUGAUAAAUAAACAUUGUAGAUAGUGGCUAUAGUGCCAAAUACCUAACUCUGAUGGGUUAGAACAAACGCAUUAAAUGCACCAUGAGGUGUCUUGUGGAUGGAGCUCCCCGGCAAGGUUGGUCUCUCCUUCUGUGCCGUUCACCCAUCUACCUUCUAUUGCCUUGACAUAUCAUUUGGACGGGUGUCAUUAAAGUUGUAUCUUCAGAGGCGAGCUGCCACGUGCCCAGACAAAGCUCACCUAACUACCUACCCACUCGACACCUAAUCGACAAGUGACAACCUGAUCGAUGAGGUGGAGCGGUGGCAAGGUAGUGGGAUUCUUGCCGGGUUCUCCCAGGCAAGGAUCUUGCCGGGUCCUCGAGCCGUAUCUUCAGUAUUUCUGACCUCUAGCUCGGAGAUCUCCUUUGUAUGCUUGUAAUCUGAUCUUGAGUUUUAGCUUUAGUUAUCCUCCGGCAAGCCUUGCCAUCGGGAAGGCUACUACUGCCUGUGCAUAAGUCUGGGGUAUUGAAAACCCAAUUCUUAAUACACCGACAGGAGCCCCGGGGCUGGGCCACACACGCAUGCGAGGCGUCGUUGGGCUAGGCCCAAACAAUGCACAGGCACGCGUGCAGAGAAUAACUGCUACAAUCUAUCAUAAUCUUCUCUUUUACUGCGCCUCCCACCACGCGCAUUAAAUGCAGAACAUGGGAGAGGUGGAUGAAAACGGCUGCUGCGGUAAUGCGCCUGCAAAAGCACAUCCACGUCGGAUCGUAAAGAGCCAGCCCCGCUUCUUCCUUGUAAAAAGGAAUCCGCAGGGGUGCUCCUCAUUUACCUUCCCUCUUUCCAAUCUAGCAGUUGCCAUCGACUUCUUCCUUACGCCCUCAGAACAAAGCACUCUGCAUCCAUCCACCGCUCCACACUCCCACUCCUCAAUCCUUACUUCCAGAACCGCCAUGGCGCUGAAAGCGAGCAAGGACAAGGUGGAGAAGAUCCUCAGCACAGACGCGAAGGCCUUGGCAGAAGCGCGGAAGCAGCACAUCGUCUUUGACCUAGUUCUGGACAAGAGUGAUCUUGUUGAACGGUACGCCUACAUGUGGGGGAGAGAUGAGAGCUCACUCUGCCCCGCAUGUUCUUCCUGGCUCCACCAAGAGCAACACAAUCAAAUAUCGCUUCUUUGUUGCCUAUUUCUAUUGUGGGCUCUGUCUCCCUUUUUCUGAUUUCUUCAACGACAUCAUGCAUACAUAUGGCUUCCAUCUGCUUGAUUUCACACCAAAUGCAAUCACUUGCAUGUUGGUUUUUGCACAUCUUUGCGAAAAUUUUGCUGGGGUGAUUCCAAACACUCCACUCUUCCGCCACUAUUUCAUUCCCCAUAUCGAAUUUGGAGAUGCCCUUUCUGGCUCCAUCUCUUGGAUUCCUAGGCCUGGGACCAAGGAUAUAUAUCUUGAAGGAGCAGGACAUAAGAAAUGGGAAGAAUGGCGGGGCGAGUGGUGCUGGAUCAAGGACGAUGAUUUCCCCCAUUUUUGUUUGCCCCGGCAGACCAAACCAGAUCGCGGCAUAGAUUGGAGCGGCCAUGACAAGGAUGACCAGAAGCUCGUGAUUGCCAUCACCAAGAUCCACCAUCUCAGUUUUGCCAAGCUCACCAUUGAAGCAGUUGGUGCAAACUUCCUUCGCCGCCGAAUCGCCCCUCUGCAAAACAGGAAACAACCAGCUUGGUAAUACAAGAAUGUUGCGGAUGUCAUGAGGCUGCACCCCGGAUUGACACCAAUUUGACGGUCCUGCAGCAAUGCUCUAUGCCACGCGUUGUUUAGGUCAGACGGCAGACCAAAUUGCCGGCAAGCGUCGUCCCCUUGUGCAACAACUCGGCCUUGACCGCAAUCAUUGCGAUGAUGCCAUAGUGCAAUGCACAUGGAGUUGUUGGAAACUGGGCGAAGCCGCCCAAAGAAGGCGUGCAGGAAUUCUUUGAUACCCUUUUGGAGAGAGUUCUCAGAGAAGAAAUAGAUCUCAUCCGCGACACCCCCGGCAAGGAGGUCGCCUAUAUUGCGAGCAGAGCAGAGAAAGCUCAGCUUGCUGCGGCGGCCGGUGUCUUUGGUCAUUUAGCGACCGAAACUGGCGAAGAAGAAGUAUGGAUGCCUGAAGAAGAUCUUGCUGGCGAAGAUGUGGUUGCCUGUGAGCAGGGCGAUGAAGUUGCCAGGAGUUCCACUGGCAAGGGGACAACCGAAGAGCAGGAACACGAAGAGCCCCUUGUUCCGCCAAGGAAGCAACGCAUCCUCCGCUACUUCUAAUGACCCAGCACGUCCAUCAUCUUCAAGUGGUAAAACUGUUGACAAGGGACCAGCCAGCAAGACUUCGCAGCGGCAAGGAGCUCAAUAGCAACCUGCGCGGCGCACAAGACAGACCGCCAUGUCAACAGCUGGAGCGUCAAGAUCGUCGAAUGCAACCCGCCAGCAACCGGAGCCGCAAGAUCAUCUCGAUCUGCUGCUGCUGCCAAAUGCACAAGAACUCCCACCCCUAGCACAACCACCGGAGCAGAUGUCGAUUUUGACGUUUUUGUUUUCAGCGAAGGGCGAAGCAGAGUAAGGAUUCUUGUCAUCCCCUUUAAUUCUUGACUUGUUGAUCUGACUUGUCUUGACUUGAUUUCUGCAGACGCGGAAACCUUGGCGCAAAGGCGGACGAAGAGGGCGAAGACCUCGACGGCCGACGAGCCCCCGACAAGUACCAUGGCAGGUCCAGAGACCAUCGUCAUCAUUCCCGAGCCCAGUCCUCGAGUCCCCAGUCCAGCCCCCAAUGUGAGUCCAUCACUCAUUUCCCGCUUGCAAGCCUUGGGCGUGGAGAUCUUCACUGCUGACAUCAGCGAGCUUGUAGGAGAAGAGCGGUGCCAAGAAGGCCAGCCUGAAGUCACCCUUGAUGUGCCGUCCUCCUCAACCACACUACUUGAAGAUGACUCUUCGGCAAGGGCCUCCAGCGUCGAGAAGCCGGCAAGCAAGGAUGUCGGCAGCCAUGCAACGGCAAUCGAUGUUGUCGGAAGGGAAGAAGUUACCCCUCAACAGACUCACACAGAUAAUCCACUUGCUUUUGAGCAUUCAUUUUUCUUUCAUUGUUUUUGUUUUCUUGAACUUGGCUUUGAAUCUAAUUUGCCUUUCUCCUUCAUCUUAGAUCCACCUCCAACCGACAUGAAUGUUGAUGUUGAUGUUGAGGGGAUAGUCAAGGACGCUGUUGCAGAGGCUGACAGGAUUGCCGCCGACGAGACCACCAAGAGAGUUGAUGGGGGAGCCGGCAACGAAUCCACAGGGGCACUGACGGCAUUCCUGCCACAGGAACGCUUGGCGCUGACCCAGACGCGAAGGCAUCAGUUGCCGGCAAAGCAGUUGUCAGGGAUGAUCCCUCCACAUCUAAAGAGCCCCCAGCAAGCAAGCUUCUCAAGGUUGGCGACAACUUAUACGUCUGCAUCCCGGGAACGGCCAACACUGGAGCGCCAAUUGAAGGAGAGGAUUUUGAAAAUGUUAUUGUUGCUGCUGGACUGAGGAUCGUUGACCAACCACUUAUAGGCGGUAGCAAGUCAAAAGAAGAGCUCCUCCAAGCGAUGAACAGCAAUUUCCAACAACUUCAAGCACUUUUCCGCAACCGGUCUGACAGUCUGGACUCGAGGGCGGCAAUUGUAGGAGCAGCGGAAAUAGGGUUCCUUAAGCACGUUGAAGAGGCGCAAACUGAGUAUGCUGAAUCUCUCCAAGAGCUGAGUGCCCAACGAGAGCAACUGGCUAAAGAAUGGGAAAAGUUUUUGCUGGAGAAAUCUGAUGCUGAGAAAGCACAAAAGGAGGCUGCGCAGAGAAUGUCAGCAAAAGAAGGCAAGCUGAACGAGCGCAGGGCUGAGCUCAACUCUCAUGAGGAAGACCUUGCCGCUCGCGAGGAAGCAGUGGCUGCCAAGCUCCGCGCCAAGGAUGAAGAGAUUGAAAAUCUUGUUGUGCGGCGAAGCAGGAGCUGGAGCUGAAGUAUAAAGAAGAACUUGCAGCCCAGUCUGUGGACCACGCCAGCAAGCUCAAGGAGGCCAUCGAUGCUGCCAAAGCCGCAGAGGACGCCAAGAGUGAGUUGGUGGAGAAGGUGAAGAAGCAGCAGGCAAACCUUGAGGACUUCAGCAAGCAAAUCUCAACCUUUCAGGAAGAAAGGGAGAAAAUACUCCAUGAUCUGGCGGAGAUGGAGGCCACCAUAUCCAGCAAGGACAAAGACCUCACUGCCGCCAACAACUCCAUAAAAGACUUGCAGCUGACUGUGGCGAGACACGAGAAGAACUUGGAGAAGAGCAAAGCUCGCGAGAAGAGCUUGCUCAAGGAUCUUCAAAAAGAGAAGGACUUGCUCAUCAGCGCCGCCGCCACAUAUAAUGACUAUGAAAAGAGUGUGACACUCUGGACCGAGCGGCUUGUCAGUGCAGCUGAGAAGCUUACUACACAGCUAGCCAGCAUGUGUCUUCAGAACUUCAAGUACUCCGCCAACGAGAAUGUGAGCACCAGCGCCAGGUUGACCCUGUUCUUCGAAUGUGUUGUUGACGCCCUCAAGCAUAUGAGACCGUAAACUCUGUCAAACCCUUCUCCGAAAGGUGCACGUCAAGGUUGGUUACUGGAAUCCUGGCACUGACUUCUCCAAUGUUCUCGCAAGCCUGCCGGAGGAUGCUGACACCAAGGCCAUUGAAGAAGCCAUCCAGCCCAUCGUUGACAAGGUAAGCCAAGUGAAGAGGGUUGAAGGCCAGCGUAGGGACUAGUUGCCACGCCUCGCCUUGUCUUGCCACCAACAGUCCAUGUAAAAGACAAUAUUUAUCUUAAGUUAGAACUGCAGCAAGUUAUCUGAUGUAAUAUAAAUUAUCUGUGUUUGAUGAAUAUGUGUUGUUUCCCCUUGUUCGAUUCCGUUUUUGCAUGGUAUGUUCCCUACGCUUUCUGGAAACUUGUCGGUGCGCACUUGCCGCGAGCGCUUGAGGAACAGAUCCUUAGCAGCUUGCUGGAAAUGUCGUCGCCGGCAAGGUCUCUUGGCGGUCUCAGUGCAGCUGCUUAGAUUGUUGAGCGGACUCGAAACAAAAUAAGAGCGCAGCUAAUCGCGACAAGGUUCCCUCGGGUGCAGGUUUUCCAUACAAAAGCCAAAAACAUUCAAGAAAGCUAGCUCUAUAAUAAAGAAAAUUGUUUGAAAGUUUUUCAACUUAGCUUCUCUCUUUGGUGUACUGCUUGUCGUGGAAUAAUAAGUUGAACAUCACUUGUUGGUGUCCAUACUAUCACUCCCCCCGGCAAACAUGCACGUGAGGGAACCUUCUGUCCUUUUGAGAAAAAGAAAGAAGAGAAAAUAACGAUAUGGAACCUUGACGGUUCGUUAAUUAUCCAUGCAAGGCAAGCAUAUCACAACAUCACAGAGAAACACAUAUAAUUAAACAUGUGAAUUGACAAGAGUUGUGGACCACUUAGCUUUAUUUCACUAUGCACAGGGUCUGCGCCUGGCUUUGUACAAAGGUUUACAUGCUUCGCCAGCAAACUUGUACAAAAGGUGGUUGCCGGGUGGCCCGGCAACCCGCGUCUUACGGGUAGAACUUGCGAAGAUGCUCAAUAUUCCAUGAGUUAUGCACUAGAGUGCCAUCUUCGGUCUCUAGGCGGACUGCACCAGGCCUAGUGACUCGUACCACCCGGUAAGGGCCUUCCCACUUCGGCGUCAACUUGUUUGAAUUCUUGGUGAACUGAACUCGCCGAAGAACAAGGUCGACUUCCUCAAGGCUCCGGGCGUUAACCUUGCGGUUGUGAUAGAGGCGCAAAGCUUGUUCGUAACGUGUAGCACGUACAGCAGCCUGGAGACGAUCUUCCUCAAUGAGCGUGGCAUCAUCUUGGCGCAGCUGCUCUUGCUCAAGCUCACCAUAAGUGAGCACUCGAGGUGACCUGUACAAUUUCGUGGGGAGCACUGCUUCUGGCCCAUAGACUAGGGAGAAAGGUGUCUGGCAGUGGCUCGAUUUGGUGUCGUCCUAAUUGACCAAAGAACGCCGGCAACUCAUCAAUCCAGCGUCUUCCACACUUCUGCAGCUUGUCGAAAGUUCUCGUCUUGAGCCCACACAGCACUUCAGCAUUUGCUCUUUCCGCCUGGCCAUUGCUCCUUGGGUGAGCAACUGAUGCAAAACAUAUCUUGCUGCCAAGGUUGUCAAGGUACUACAUGAAGGUGCGGCUCGUGAACUGUGUGUUGUUGUCAGUGAUAACCCUGUUGGGCACUCCAAAACGAAAAACUAGUCCUCUGAAAAACUUCACGGCUGACUGUGUUGUCACCUUCCUCACCGGCUCCACCUCUGACCACUUUGUGAACUUGUCGAUUGCACCAUACAAGUACUCAAAGCCCCGACAGCGCGUGGGAAGGGGCCCAGUCUAUCAAGCCCCCAGACCAAGAAGGGCCAGGAGAGAGGGAUCGUUUGAAGAGCUUGGGUUGGCUGAUAUGAUUGCUUUGAAUGAAAUUGGCAUGCUUCACACUUGGUUACUAGCUCAGUUGCAUCCUGGAGAGCAGUGGGCCAAAAGAAAGCUUUGCCAACAAGGGCCCUUGAUCCUAUGUGUGAGCCAUAUAUUCCCCAUGUAUCUCCGCCAAUAGCUUUUGUCCAUCUUCCCGAUAAAUACACUUCAAUUUCAUCCCAUUUUGUCUCUUUCUGUAUAGGUCGUUGCCGAGAAACUGAUACAUACUAGACUGAAGGGCUACUCUUUUAGCUUCUUCUUGAUCUUCGGGAAGUUAUCCUAUCUAAAGGAAUUCGACAAUCUGUUGUGCCCAUGCCGGAGCUUGCGGUUCGACGGCAAGGACUAAAUGCAUUUCUUCUGCUGCAGGAGCGCUUGUAUCGACGGCAAGAACUUGGUUCCUUGUCGGAGCCUGCUGCUCACCGGUAACCUUGUCAUUGUCUCCGGCAACCUCCUUGCCGACAGCUUCUGGGAGCUCAGCAGGAAAGUACUUGCUGGAAUUCAACUUUCUUCUUUUGUUCUGCCCAACUGAUGGUGUUACGGACGGCUGAGUCAAGUGGAGCAUAAAAGUUCCUGGUUCCACAGGUAGCUUCAGUGCGGCACGCUUUGAUAGAUCAUCUGCAAUGUUGUUCUCUACACAAGGAAUGUGCUCUGUUUGCAAUCCGUCAAAGUGCUCUUCCAAUUUUCUCACUUCAUUAACAUAUGCUUCCAUCAGUGGACUCUGAUAAUCUUUGUUGACUUUCUUCACAACCAACCGCGAGUCGCCUCUGAUAAUCAACUUUCUGAUUUCAAGGUCUGUCGCGAUCCUGAGACCGGCAAGCAGUCCUUCAUACUCAGCAGUGUUGUUUGUCGCCUUCUCCCUGAGGAAGUGCAUCUGAAUCACAUACUUGAGGAGCUCUCCGGUGGGUGCGACAAGCAGCACUCCAGCGCCGGCGCCUUGCAGCGAGAAGGCCCCAUCAAAGUACAUAAUCCAAUCUUGAUUUGUUUCCUUGCCGGGGAGAGAUGUUUCUGAAAUUUCUUCGUCUGGCGUUGGCGUCCACUCUGCAAUAAACUCCGCCAAGGCUCUGCCCUGAGUUGUUGAAGUGCUUUCAAACUUGAGAACAAAGCUUUGACAAUUCCAACGCCCACUCAACAAUCCUGCCUGUUGCAUCUGGAAUUCUUAAAAUCCUUUGCAUCCGAAAGCAAGUGACGACGGUGAUUUGGUGUGCUUGAAAGUAGUGGCGCAGCUUCCUUGAGGCCACAAGAAGACCAAAAAGCAAUUUUUGCACGCCAGAGUAUCUUGAUCUAGCCCCCUGGAGAAGGGAACUGACAAAAUAGACUGGGCACUUCACCAACUUCUUCUGCACAACUUGUUGUUCUGAUCCAUCUGCUUGCUCUGCACUUGACUUGUCGGCAACAAGACUUGCUGGAGAAGAUUCUGGCUUGUCGCUUGACGGGCCUACAUCUGCUACUUCUUCGCCUUCAGCUUCCCUCUCCGCCACCAGUGAAGCACUGGCCACUUGAUUCGUUGCCGCCAAGUAUAACAGCAACGGUUCUUGCGGUCUUGGUGCAACCAGUGUUGGCGCACAAGAGAGGUACUUCUUCAAGUCUUAAAGCACUGCCUCCGCUUCUGAAGUCCAUUUCAUUGGACCUGCCUUUUUCACGAUUUUGAAAAAUGGCAGGGCGCGCUCAACAGACUUGGAGAUGAACCUGCUUAGUACAGCAAUGUAGCCGGGAAGGCGACGCACAUCCUUGACGCGCUUCGAUGCUUCAAUCUACUCAAUCGCUUUGAUCUUGUCGGGAUUGGCUGUAAUUCCACGCUGAGAAACAAAUAACCCGAGAAGCUUGCCGGAUGGAACAGCAAACACACACUUCUCGGGGUUGAGCUUCAGAUUGAUCUUGCGCAGAUUAACAAACAUCUCCUAAAUCCUGUAUUAGUGUUGUCUUGUCCUUAGUUUUGACCACUAUAUCAUCCAUAUAUGCUUCCACAUUUCUGUGCAGCUGAUGUUAAAAACCAAUCUGGACUGCUCUUGCAAAUAUUGAACCAGUACUUUACUUUUCAAUCUGAAAGGCAUAUGUAUGAAGCAGUACAUGCCACAUGGAGUAAUAAAUGCGGUCUUCUCUUCAUCUUCUUUUGACAUGAAAAUCUGGUGAUACCCGGAGUAGGCAUCAAGAAACGACAGCAAGUCACAUUCAGCAAUGGUGUCAACAAUUUGGUCGAUGCGCGGCAAGGGAAAUGGGUCUUUCCAACAAGCUUUAUUGGCAUCUGUUUAGUCAAUGCAAAGACGCCACUUGCCAUUCGCCUUGCGCACAACAACUGAAUUGGCCAACCACGUAGGAUGGAGUACACCUCUGACCAAACUUGCCGCUUCCAACUUCUUUAUUUCUUUGGCAAUAAACCGUUCCCGUUCCAAAGCUUGCUUCCGCACCUUCUGCUUGACGGGCCGCGCGUGAGGGCAGACGGCAAGGUGGUGCUCAGUUACCUCCUUGGGAACAUCGGGGAUGUCAGAUGGUUGCCAUGCAAACACAUCGACAUUCGCCCGCAGGAAGACAACGAGCGUGCUUUCCUAUUUGUCGUCAAGGGUGAAACUUAUGGUGAAAGUCCCCCUCCCCCCCCCCNNNNNNNNNNNNNNNNNNNNNNNNNNNNNNNNNNNNNNNNNNNNNNNNNNNNNNNNNNNNNNNNNNNNNNNNNNNNNNNNNNNNNNNNNNNNNNNNNNNNNNNNNNNNNNNNNNNNNNNNNNNNNNNNNNNNNNNNNNNNNNNNNNNNNNNNNNNNNNNNNNNNNNNNNNNNNNNNNNNNNNNNNNNNNNNNNNNNNNNNNNNNNNNNNNNNNNNNNNNNNNNNNNNNNNNNNNNNNNNNNNNNNNNNNNNNNNNNNNNNNNNNNNNNNNNNNNNNNNNNNNNNNNNNNNNNNNNNNNNNNNNNNNNNNNNNNNNNNNNNNNNNNNNNNNNNNNNNNNCUUGCGGGCACCUUCUUGGUCUUUGGUGGAGCAGCCUUGUUCUUCUUCGACGGGAGCGCAGCACUCCGAAGAGGCACGCUUGCCGGAGUCGGUAGUCUUGUCGGUCUUCUUCCUCUUCUUCCCUAGGGGAGCUUGGUCGGCAGGAGCAAGUGCCUUGGCGGGAGAUGUUGCAACUGCUUACCGGUAAAGUUGUUCAGCGCAAACCAGCGCAUCCUUCUUGUCAGAAUGGAUGGUGAUGACGCCUAUCGGCCCUAGCAUCUUCAACGUGUUGUAUGCAUAGUGGGAUGCUGCCAUGAAUUUUGCCAGGGCCGGGCGGCCAAAGAUCCCAUUACAUGGCAAUGGAAUCUUGAUGACGUCGAAGACAAUCAUCUUUGUCCUGUAGUUGAGUUCGCUGCCAAAUGUCACCGGCAGAGUGAUCUUGCCCUUUGGCUGGCUCCUUCCUGGAUUGAUCCCUUGGAACGUGCCAGUCUUCUUCAUCAGAUCAUCAUUAGAAAUCUGUAGCUUCUUGAUCACAUCAUGUGAAAUCAAGUUGAGACCGACCCCAUCAUCAACCAACAUUUUUGUCACUUUGAGGUUGUGGAUUGUUGGUGAAAAACAGCAAGCACCCGACCAUACUUGUGCAAUCAGGGUGAUCCUCGACGUCAAAAAUGAUGGGCAUGUUGGACCAUCUCAAUGCCUUCUGGGCAUCAAUUGCUGGUUCUGCCACAUUGACUUCACGCGCCCACUCCUUGAGUUGGCAGUGAGAGAAGUGCAAAGAUGCACCUUCGUCAAUGCACAUUGCUUUUGUGGCUUUCUGGAGUUCACUGGACUCGUCUUCAUCCUCUUCGUCCUCGUCAUCAUCAUCCUCUUUCUUGUCUCGACCUCUAGCAAGCUUCUCCCUCUGUUGCUUGGUCUUGUCGCGGCGACCUCCUCGGCCACCACGUUUCUUGCCGGACCCACUUGCACCGUCAGCCUUCUCCUUAUCUCUCUUCUCAUACUCAGCCUUCUACUUCUCAGCAAGCUGCUCAACUUGCCGGCAGUCUUGAAGGUCAUGGCUCUUGGUGCGGUGGAUCUUGCAAUACUGCUUGCCGGAGCCCCCGGUCUGGUCAGCAGCCGCCAAGACUUGGCACGAGGCGCACCCGGCAACCUCCUUGCCGGAGCUCUCAGCCUUAGCCUUCUUAGCGAGGCCACUGUUGCUGGAUCCCUCUACGGCGAGCACAACUUUAUCCUUGCGAUUCCUGUUGCACUUGCGGUUCUUCUUCUUCGGGGCGGUGGCAGCAUCAUUGUCUUUUGAAUCAGACCCUGCGCCAACCUCCUCCCCAGGAAGUCUCCUUCCUUCCUCAGCCCAUGCACACUUGUCAGCCAGAGCAUAGAGCUCAGCGACGUCCCCCACCUUGUUCAUGGCCAUCUCUUCCUGCAUCUUGCAGUUUCUCACGUUCUGUCGGAACGCGGCAAUGGUUGUUGCGGGGUGGACAUAGGGAAUGUUGCGUUGUACAAGGCUGAAUCUCUGUAUGUACUUGUGGAGCGACUCAUCUUCUUUCUGCGGUAUCAACUGCGGAUCAGUUUCUUGGCCUGGAACUUUGCGGAGCCCCAGCAACUUGCACCGCAAUGGUGUAAAUGCUUAGGAACUCUGGCGGGUGUGUCUUGCCGUCAUACUUCUCCACCUCUGGCUUGAAGUUCCAGGAACUAGGCCACUAGACUUGCCGCAACUCACAGGUGAACGUUGAACAACCGACCUUGUAAGGUAGGCCGCCAUUGUUCCCCAGUGCAGGCUCAUCAACAGCAGACCCUGCACGCCUAUCAAAUUGACGUCGCGCUUCCCGUCGCCAUUUGAUGGUAGUACGGGCAUCUUCUCCGCGCCGUUCUUGGAGAACUUGGCGCUGGUCGCGGUGAACUCGCGGAUCGGACGACGCCAUGGACACGUCGUCAUGGGCAUCGACCCGCUAGCUCCGCCGCUAAGGUUGUUGCUGUCAUGGAGGGGAUUGCACCGUGGCUGCUCCACCUCCAGUCCUCUCUCCGGCAGCACGCACCGGAGCGGUGGGCUGCUGCUGUGAAGGUCCCGCCCACUGCGGUUUGUCAUUGAUGGCGAAGCCAACAAGACUCUAGAUGGUGGUUCUCCACUCCAUCUUCUCCGCGGCAAGAGGAAACUUCAGAAGUAACUGAGCACGAGCCAGUGCUUCUUCUGGCGUGGACGGCAUGGAAAGGUGCGAGGAAUGAGAGGUGUUCUUGCUUCCAACUGAUCUAGAAGCAGCCCGUCUCGAACCUGGACAUUGGCAUGUUGUCGCCAGUGUGCUGGCAUGCAUGUUGGCCUUGCGUGUCUUUAGGAAGAUCCGCAGGGCCCUUGCCGUGGGGACGCUUAGAGCCACCGACAUCGUGGCGUUGUUCGUCGCGCGCGGCCUGAGAUGGCCGCGGCAUGGGCGUCUUGAAGUGCGCCCUGUUCUCCCUGGAGUUCGCCGCACCACCCGCGGGCGGCACGGCCCCGUCCUUGGACCUCGUGGCGUGUGUGUCGUUGUUCCUGUUGCGGACGAUGCCGCUCGCCUGGCUGUGAUCGCCAGAACGCCGCGGAGGUUGAUCUUGGCCUCCACCUCCGCCACUCGCGCCGCCGCCUGUGCCGUCGCUUGUCUGCGAAGGCACUGGUGGCUUGGACGUCGACGGACCGACCAUCGCGGUGCCCUUCUUCUUGGGAGCCAUGGCGACGAAGACGGUGAAGAAUCUGACGCGCUAACUGCUAAUUCUGGUUCGCACAAGCGAUCCUCCUACCUGGCGCGCCAUGGAUGUUGUGUGUAUGACCAUCUAUGGGAUCAUGGCGAUCCCUUUGCGGUUCGACUGGAGAGAUCGACAAGCACAAAGAGCAGAAUUAGCAAAAAAUGCACAAGGUUUACCCAGGUUCGGGCUGCUGUGAAGCGUAAAACCCUACUCCUGCUUUGUAUAUUGGAUAUGUAUAUGUCCAGUUACAAAGAGCGCACGUCCGGCAAGGUGCUCAGAAAAUGCCGCUACGCGUGCAAAUGGACAGGAUUUCGACCUUUGUCAAGGUAGCCAUGGGCCUCCUUUUAUAGACUAAGGGGUCACCACACUAGCAAAAUGGUAAAUAAACACUGUAAAUAGUGGCUACAGUGCCAAAUACCCAACUCUGUCGGGUUAGGACAAACGCAUUAAAUGCACCGUGAGGUGUCUUGUGGAUGGAGCUCCCCGGCAAGGUUGGUCUCUCCUCCUGUGUCGUUCGCCCAUCUACCUUCUAUUUCCUUGACACAUCAUUUGGACGGGUGUUAUUAAAGUUGUAUCUUCAGAGGCGAGCAGCCACGUGCCCAGACAAAGCUCACCUAACUACCUGCCCACACGACACCUAAUCGACAAGUGACAACCUGAUCAAGGUGGAGCAGUGGCAAGGCGGUGGUAUUCUUGCCGGGCUUGAAUCUUGACGGGUUCUCCCCGGCAAGGAUCCUGCCGGGUCCUCGAGCCAUAUCUUCAGUAUUUCUAAUCUCUGGCUCGGAGAUCUCCUUUGUAUGCUUGUAAUCUGAUCUUGAGUUUUAGCUUUAGUUAUCCUCCGGCAAGCCUUGUCGUCGGGACUCGGGAAGGCUACUACUGCAUGUGCACAAGUCUGGGGUAUUAAAGACCCAAUUCUUAAUACAUUGACAAGGUACUGCUGCACGGAUACAGGAGCCAAACAUCUUCGCCCCACGUAUGGUGCGCCCGGAGGACUCGGGGAACGAUGGGGCUUGUUGAUGCGACAGUCGUUGUUGUCGGCGAUGGAAGUGAGGUUGUCUCCCUCCAAUUUGUGACAGACUCGGCAUCUUGUCUCGAGUCUUGCACAUCAUGGUCCAGGUUGAUUUACAAAUGGGUGGUCAGCCAGUUCUGGAUGCGUAGAUGACUUCUCUUGUACUAUAAGAUGGUGACCCACCCAAAUCUUCUAGGAAGACUCAAGUCAUGGGCCUGGCCUACCCCAUGGUUAUUUGCCCUUAUUCGUCCUCCUUGACUAUACUCGGGUGUUCCUCCUUGACUUUAAUCGAGUGUUCCUCCUUACUAUACUCAGGUGUUCCUCCUUACAUCGACAGGGUGCAUCCAAGGUGCUUGACGACGGCAACUGCACCCGCACAUGCACGGCCCUUGAUCUCUCUCUCCAGAAUCGACGGCGUCCACAAAUAGGUCCUCAGGCACCUCAGCCUUGACGCCUUACGGUGCAGUCUCUUUGGACUUCUGAGUGGAAUAAUCGAAGAUGAUGAAGAGGAGUUGCUUUUGGGGUAGUUCUAGGGGCGAUGGCUGUAGCGGCUGAGGGGAUUAGGUAGGGGAAUUUGAUGGUAUCACCGAGGAUGGCUGGGAAUGAUAGAUCAAGGUUCAAGACCAAGGCCAAGUGGACCAAUGACAAUAUAUGUCGUGCAAAAGCCAUUGAAGCCGAGGUGGGUUCACUCCUACUUGAGCUCCCUACGCAUUUGGAUGAGGCAUGGCUACUACCUCAAGAGUGGAACCUUGUGUUUGAUUAGGUAUGACGAUGACCACCACGGAGAAGUGAGGAAGGAUUGCAAAGUCCAUGAGGAGGAGCAAAGAGAAGAAGCUGGAGCCCAAAGAUCCAAGACUGGAAAAGCCUCUGGACACCCCGAGGCUCUGGCAACCGGGAGAAAUUCUCUGGAUACCUCGGGUCCCUGGCCUCCAAACCCCCAGGUCCACAACCCCCUGCCGACCAACUUUCUAGAUACUAGGUCCACAGGUUCCAUAACCCCCGGGUCCCCGUGUCCACAGUGUACCCUGUGGCCCUGGUCUUGUCGGCGUGCAAAUGAUGGGAAAUGUUCCUUGUACCCCUCCCUUCUCUCUUCCCUAUUACCUAUAUAUUGUGUACCUCCUUUUUCUUGGGUUAGCUAAGCAUAGAGUAAAACUUGAGGGAGCUUUGCUCAAUCUAUAUCCUCUUAGUAGGAUCAAGGCUUCCUCAUUGGGGAAGAAUCCUAUGGAUUUCAAAACCUCAACAUCUUAGAAGUUGGAAGAACUAUCUCUCAAGACCUCCAACUCUGCUAGAGAUUUGGAGAAGAACUAUCCUUGUUUACCUUCGUGUCUUCUGUUGUUCUUGGAUCUAAGAUGCACCUCUUAGAUUGACUUGCGUUUUGAGGAGUAAUUGGAGUGGAUCUUGUCCUUUGAAUGAUUUUCAUCUUGGUUUCCCAUUUUUCGCCCUUGAUUCUUGUGUUGCUUCUCAAAUUGACCUCCAAUUCGUGAAGAUCGAGCCACCCUAGCGGCUUGCCCCGUAUCAGGGCAGCUGCAUCGUUCUAUACCAAGGAGAGAGAAUAGUGUACGGGAGAGAGACAGAGAAGAUGACAAGCUUAGAAUGGGCUUGACCAGGCCUAGUACCACUAAUGUGCAAUUGACGAUCGCUCUCCUAAGAUUCCAAACUCCCAAUACAUGUACAUUAAAAAAAACCUUGCCUUGGUUGAAUUGGUAUUGCGACCUAGUUCAAUUCCUGGGGCAGAAUAUCUACAUCAAAACAAAGCCUAACUAAUUUUGGUUCACCAAAAGUGAUGACCAAAUCAGGUAACGAAAUGUUCGGUUUUGGUCAUGGUUCUUUGGUUUGGGACUCCGGUUCUCGGUGAUAUGCUUAGAAAAUGCAUACCAUCUUACUCCUCACUGGUCAGCACAAGAUAAUGACAGUAGCCAACGGAAUUUUCUUUACAAAAGUAAAUACUUCACAAAUUAAAGAGUUAAAUCCAAUAUCUCACCUUUUGUUAGUACAAGUAAAUGUGUAGCAAUGCACGUUGAUAUUAGGCUAUAUAUUUAUUACAUGGGGAUAUUAGGUAGGAUAUUAUUUGCGCGUCAAUUAUGUGAUUAGCGCUGAUGUUUAUAUUUGGUAUGAUAUUGGUUGCAUGUUAAAAAUGUUGAGCGCUCACCAUUGAAGCAAUCUAGAUCGUUGGAUUGACCUGAUUUGAUGGCCAAGAUUAGUUGGAUCUGCCCCUUGGGUCUUUUUAUAUUGGUAUAAAUAUAGAUAUGCGUGUGUAAAAGAGUCAACCAUGAAAGAAUUGCAGAAUGCUUUUUGCUGGACGUGAAAGUUAUGUUUUACAUCAACAUGAUGAGCCACUCUAACAGGAUAUGUAAAGUUAAUCCAAUCUAGAGUAGAUAAUUAUAAACACACAAACAGGAAACAGCAGUAAAAUGAUAAACUGGAACACAUAAUCUGCAUCCCGAAGCUGCCAAAGUGCAUGAGAUUGGUCAAAAAAAUGAACAAAGAAAAGUGUAUGUCAAUCAUAGAGAACCGGUGCAUUGAAAAUUAUUGAAGACUAGCAUUGUUUGUGAAAACAGGGCCAGGUGGCAUAAGAAGAUAUAUGGCCAUGCACAUAACUGAAUAAGGGGACAAUGAUAUUGUUAUAUGCAAAAUAAGGUCUAUAUGAUGUUGCCAGUGCAUGAAAGUAGACUACAGCCAAAACUACACUAGCUCGACAAAGACAGUUUUGAGUAGCAUAGUACCUGCCGAUAUGAUGAGUGCUUGUGCGGUGUAGUUCAGAUUAUGCUUAGCCCAAGGAAGGACACGGCAAGCAACCAACUGCACAAAAUUAAAUUUGACAGAAGUCAAAUAUAUGCAAGUAUGCACACAAGAAUUCAGCACACAAAUACGCACCGUGGGAACCGCGACCACAGUACCAGCAAUGGCGGCGUUCUUCCCUCCCAACAAGACAGCCUCUGCAACAAGAUAACGCAAGAAACAAACAUAAGAGGGAGAAAACACAAAAUCACCAGCAUUGUCUACGUGCCACUGUAUAUCAACUACACAAGCGAAUUGUGCUGAGAGUUGGGACAUUAGAUGAAGGAAGGCAUGCGACUACACAAUCCUGGCAGCCACGAGCAGAGAAACCAAGACAGAAAUCAUCUUCCGCUUCCCACACUGAGAGCAGAAAUCACGCAUCAGGGAAUCCAGGCAGACACGACCCCAUGUAGGUGCGCAAGAACAAGAAUCUAUCCAUCCGGUUGGACCAAACAACCGCGUUCCGCCUUGGUUUCCCGAUGGAUCUGCGAUGGUGUGGCCCGGUGGUGGAACUGAGAGAGGAAGAGCGAGAGGGUCUUUGGGGUACCUCGGACGGCAGCGCUGGAUUCCUCCUCCUUGGGGGAUCGGACUAAGAAAUUCCUGGCGGCCAUGGCUCCUCGCUCCGUUCUGUUUCUUCUCCCUGGCGGCUUCUUUUCCCCUAUAGCUAUCUUCCGAUUGAAGGAAACGGUGGGUGACCCGAGUUGCCUUGUUUCCGCUGUUGGUGCGGCCCGACUUAUGCAACUACACAAUCCUGGCACGGAGCUCAAUAGAUAUCAAAUUUUUUUCAUAAUAAUAUGUGUCUUAUUUAUAUCAUAAAGAUUAAAGUACAAGUCACAUAAAGAUCGACGUGACAAAACUGAAAAGACAGUAAAACGGCUUUGCGCUUGACACCAACAUCCCGCACCACCAUAGCAGACACCGAAAAGAAAUGACGAUUCACCUUCUCACUCAAGCUCAACGCGGCUCCAUCGCUGAUAUGCAGCUUUGCGAACCUCCAAGGUGGCUCACCAAAGACGAAACCAUUACCGUUGAACGAAUCAGACUGGGACAACACCCCAGACACACCAUCGAAUUCCAGAUCUCGCACCCCCACAUGACUAAGACAUCGAGGAGAAACCAUACCUGCCAUCCACGAACCACGAACCCAACACACACUCCGUCUUCCAGAUGUCGUUGAUGCAGACCAUAAUUUGCAUCCGCUCCUCGACUACCUCACAAGUCUGUGCCGACAUUGGAGCAGACGUCGUCGCAACCGCGGAGCCCGAGGACACAUGUCCACUACAAGGAUGCCGCCGCCACGACAUCCCCGCUUGAACAGACUGGAUCCCAGAUCCCUCACCAACAAUAGAGACGAUCACCUCGCCGGAGAAGAAUUCAGAGUUUCUUUAUUCAGCAUCGUCGUUGUCGCCGCCGAAGCCAAGACGUCGAACGAUCCAAAACCCUAAGCUUCUUGGGCCCUAAAACCUAAAGCUAAAACGAUCAACAUGUGCGGGAUCCGGCGACCCCCCUCACCACCGACGACCAAAAGGUCACCGGCGGAGGAGAGCUGCCGGAAGACGGUGCAGGAAGGAGGGCUCUCCUGGUGACGGUGGCUAGGUUUCGCUACAGGAAGAAAACGAUCACAAGAGGAGGAAACGUUCAAAAAGAUACCAAAUUGUUGAUUCUCUUUUUUGCUUCAUUUUCGUAUUAAAAGAGAUAAAUACACUCAGGGUCACUAUAAUUGUGAUGAAAGCACGAUACGGUCACCCAACUUUGAAAUGCACUCUUACGGUCACUGAAUACGAUUGGAUGUGAAAAUAUGGUCACUGUAGCAUGUAUGCGGUGCGUACAGGCUCUUUGACCACAUGUUGACUGGUAGUUGGGGACAGGUGGCAAACCGCAGAGGCGCCGCUGUGGAAAUAUGCCCAAGGCCCCUCGGGCAUGACCGAAUCCCCCGUUCAUCCCUCCUCCACCCACGUCGCAUCUUCGUCUUUGGUUGGAGAAAGGGGACUCGCUUCAUAGGUGAUGUCGCCCCGGCGAUCAUCGGUGGUAGAGGCGAGGAGAGCGGUUGAUUUCUCAGUGGUUGUAGAGGCGCUGCCGCCGCACGCAUUCUUCCCGUGGGAGGCGGCGGCGAUGGCCCCUGUUCGUCGUGCAGAAGGGGCGCCACCCCUGUGUAUAGUAAGUCUCGCUUUCUGAAGAAUCCGAGCUUUUUUGCGUUUUGAUGUUGAAAAUCUAAUGCGGAGCAUCCCACGAUCAUCACCAUGGACACAUCUACAUCUCCUACGACACCACUUGGACCAAUGACAAGAGCUAGAGCAAAGGUCAUCGAAGAUAAGGUGAACUCGCUCCUCUCCAAACUACCACUUUCUACACAUGAGACAUGGCAACUACCUCAAGCGGAAACACUAUGUGUGAUCAGUUACUUGGAGGAAGGCCACGGAGCAACUACAUCCAAUGGACAAGAUGGUGAGGACACUGAGCAUGAGGGACAAGAAGAAGAGCUACCGAAGAAACUCCAGCCACCAGACGACCGGGCGAGACAGGACGUCCAGCGCCUGAAGCUCCAGCCACCCGACGACCGGUCAGGACCGGACGUCCGGCGCCUGAAGGCCCAGCUGACCCAAGUCCCAGCCGACGCAAGCUACAGCGAGCGGGCGUCCGUGCAGGACCGGACAACCGGCAACACCUACCGGCGAGCGGACGUCCGGCCUUCUCCGGACGACCGACCGUCUCCGGGCGUCCGGUACCACUUCAACAGAACGAAAAUAGCGGAAGUCCGAACCCUACCGGAGUCCGGACCCUCGCGAGCCAUCGGACGACCAGUAGAGGCCGGACGUCCGCUGCCCGUCUGUGCACAGUUUCGGGCCCGAGUUUCAUGUACCCAUUCAAUUCGCCUCCAUUUGCACUUAGACUAUAAAUAGAUCUCCUCCUCCUCCUAGUUAGGGUUAGCAUUGGUUUAGCUCAUAUUAGAGAUAGAGCUUUGCUCAUCCACUUGGUUACUUCUCCAUCGGAGUUCACGACCUCUUCAGAGAAGAUCCCCCAAGCGGAUUCAAGACCCCUUCUUGGGAAGACCCCUCAAGACCUCCUCAUGGAGAUGAACUAGCUACUUGUAUCGUCCAUUGUUGGAUUUGAAUCGUGUAUCUCUUUGUGUUUCGAGAAUCUAGCACAUGUGUAAUCGAAUCUUGUUGGUUUGAUUGAUUCUCUCAUGUUUCCCCUCGUGUUCUUCGUGUUCUUCGUAGGAUUCCCUCCAAUCGUGAAGAUCGGGCAUCUAGGGUCCUACCCUACAUCAUCUUGGUAUCAUGAGCCAUGUUGAUCACGUAUUUGGAGGCCCUACCCUUUGUUUUCUAGCUUGAUUUUGUUGUGUUCUUCCCCAAUUUCGAAAAUGCCCACCAAAAAUAGCCCCAAAUUUUUUUGUGAUUUGUUGGUGUGAUGAAGUUUUGUUGGAUUUAAUCCAUGGAUUUGCUUUGCCACGAGUGGAUCAGCUUUCCCCCAUCAUCUCCACCAUUCCCAUCCACAAAACCACUCGGAUUUGACCAAUUUUGCCACCUCCUUCACGAACCCUAGCUGUUCAUCCCGUGCCCGAAAUCGCCCAGGCACCGGACGUCCGCUAGCUACUAGAUAUCCGACGACCGGACGACCGCUCCACCACCGGACGUUCGCUGUUUCCCGACGAAACUGAAAAAGUUCAGUUCGGCCACCACCACCUCUCCACUUCCACCUCCGCAUACACACUCCGAUACCACCACCGCUUUUCGCAAGCACCACCAUCGCUUACCCGCUACCAACUCCGACACAAUUUUAACAUGUUUUGGUCUUUGAGAAUUUGAGUUGUGAUUUCCGUGUCCUAUUGUGUUUUGGCUAUAUAGGUACAGUUCGACAUCAACAUCACCACCGCUCAUCUUCGCCGCGGACUCGCCAUUGACAACAACCGUUCAACAAUUUUUGACACCUUGAUACGUCCAUUUUGCAUCAUGCUUUUAUAUCGAUACUUAUUGCAUUAUGGGCUAUUAUUUCACGUUAUGUCACAAUACUUAUGCCUAUUCUCUCUUAUUUCACAAGGUUUACAUGAAGAGGGAGAAUCCCGGCAGUUGGAAUUCUGGGCUGGAAAAGGAGCAAAUAUUAUAGACCUAUUCUGCACAACUCCCAAAGUCCUGAAGCUCCAGGGAAGUUACUUUUGGAAUUAAUAAAAAAUACUGAGCAAAGAAAGUACUAGAGGGGGCCCACACCCUGGCCACGAGGGUGGGGGGCGCGCCCUACCCCCUUGGGCGCGCGCCCCUGCCUCGUGGGCUCCCUGGCAGUCCUCCAAUGGCCAUCUUUUGCUAUAUGAAGUCUUUUACCCUAGAAAAAAUCAUAAGCAAGCUUUCGGGACGAAACACCGCCGUCACGAGGCGGAACCUUGGCGGAACCAAUCUAGGGCUCUGGCGGAGCUGUUCUGCCGGGGAAACAUCCCUCCGGGAGGGAGAAAUCAUCACCAUCGUCAUCACCAUCGAUCCUCUCAGCGGGAGGGGGUCAAUCUCCAUCCACAUCUUCACCAGCACCAUUUCCUCUCAAACCUUAGUUCAUCUCUUGUAUCCAAUCUUUGUCCCAAAACCUCGGAUUGGUACCUGUGGGUUGCUAGUAGUGUUGAUUACUCCUUGUAGUUGAUGCUAGUUGGUUUAUUCGGUGGAAGAUCAUAUGUUCAGAUCCUGUAUGCAUAUUAAUACCCCUCUGAUUAUGAACAUGAAUAUGAUUUGUGAGUAGUUACGUUUGUUCCUGAGGACAUGGGAGAAGUCUUGCUAUAAGUAGUCAUGUGAAUUUGGUAAUCGUUCGAUAUUUUGAUGAGAUGUAUGUUGUCUCUCCUCUAGUGGUGUUAUGUGAACAUCGACUACAUGACACUUCACCAUUGUUUGGGCCUAGAGGAAGGCAUUGGGAAGUAAUAAGUAGAUGAUGGAUUGCUAGAGUGACAGAAGCUUAAACCCUAGUUUAUGAGUUGCUUCGUAAGGGGCUGAUUUGGAUCCAUAUGUUUCAUGCUAUGAUUAGGUUUACCUUAAUACUUCUUUUGUAGUUGCGGAUGCUUGCAAUAGGGGUUAAUCAUAAGUGGGAUGCUUGUCCAAGAAAGGGCAGUACCCAAGCACCGGUCCACCCACAUAUCAAAUUAACGAACGCGAAUCAUAUGAGUGUGAUGAAAACUAGCUUGACGAUAAUUCCCAUGUGUCCUCGGGAGCGUUUUCCUUCAUAUAAGAAUUUGUCCAGACUUGUCCUUUGCUACAAAAAGGAUUGGGUCACCUUGCUACACCUUAUUUACUUUUGUUACUUGUUACCCGUUAUGAAUUACCUUAUCACAAAACUAUCUGUUACCAAUAAUUUCAGUGCUUGCAGAGAAUACCUUACUAAAAACCGCUUGUCAUUUCCUUCUGCUCCUCAUUGGGUUCGACACUCUUACUUAUCGAAAGGACUAUGAUAGAUCCCCUACACUUGUGGGUCAUCAAGACUCUUUUCUGGCGCCGUUGUCGGGGAGUGAAGCGCCUUUGGUAAGUGGAACUUGGUAAGGAAAAACGUAUAUAGUGUGCUAAAAUUUACUAUCACUUGUUACUAUGGAACAUAAUCCUUUGAGGGGCUUGUUCGGGGUAUCUUCACCCCGGCCAGUAGAGAAAAAUGUUGCUCCUCAACCUACUGAACCUACUGAACCUACUGAAAAUGUUUACUUUGAAAUUCCUUCGGGUAUGAUAGAGAAACUGCUAGCUAAUCCUUUUAUAGGAGAUGGAACAUUGCAUCCCGAUUUACACCUAAUCUAUGCGGAUGAAGUUUGUGGAUUAUUUAAGCUUGCAGGUGUGCCCGACGAUGUUAUCAAGAAGAAGGUCUUCCCUUUAUCUUUGAAGGGAGAGGCAUUGACAUGGUUUAGGCUAUGUGAUGAUAUGGGAUCAUGGAACUACAACCGACUGAAAUUGGAAUUUCAUCAGAAGUUUUAUUCUAUGCAUCUUGUUCAUCGUGAUCGUAAUUAUAUAUAUAAUUUUUUGCCUCGCAAAGGAGAAAGCAUCGCUCAAGCUUGGGGGAGGCUUAAGUCAAUGUUAUAUUCAUGCCCCAAUCAUGAGCUCUCAAGAGAAAUGAUUAUUCAAAAAAUUUAUGCUCGGCUUUCUCUCAACAAUCGCUCCAUGCUCGAUACUUCUUGUACUUGUUCUUUAUGAUGAAGACUAUUAAAUUCAGAUGCGAUUUAUUGGAAAUAACUAAACGCAACUCUGAAGAUUGGGAUCUCGACGAAAGUAAGGAGUCGGGUAUAACACCUAAGUUUGAUUGUGUUAAAUCUUUUAUAGAUACCGAUGCUUUUCGUGAAUUUAGUACUAAAUAUGGACUUGACUCUAAGAUAGUAGCUUCUUUCUUUGAAUCAUUUGCUACUCAUGUUGACCUCCCUAAGGAGAAGUGGUUUAAAUAUAAUCCUCCCAUUGAAGUAGAAGUAGUUGCACCUAUUAAAGUUGAAGAAAAGACUAUCACUUAUAAUGAUACUAUUGUUCCUACUAGCUAUAUUGAGAAACCACCUUUCCCUGUUAGGAUAAAAGAUCAUACUAAAGCUUCAACUGUGGUUCGUAAGAGUAAUACUAGAACACCUACACCACCUGAGCAAAUUAAAGUUGAACCUAGUAUUGCUAUGGUUAAAGAUCUCUUGGCUGAUAAUAUUGAUGGGCAUGUUAUUUACUUCUGUGAUGAAGCUGCUAAAAUUGCUAGACCUGAUACUAAAAAUAAACAUAGACCUGUUGUAGGCAUGCCUGUUAUUUCUGUUAAAAUAGGAGAUCAUUGUUAUCAUGGCUUAUGUGAUAUGGGUGCUAGUGCUAGUGCAAUACCUCAUUCCUUAUACAAAGAAAUUAUGCAUGAUAUUGCACCUGCUGAGAUGGAAGAAAUUGAUGUUACAAUUAAACUUGCCAAUAGAGAUACUAUUUCACUAGUUGGGAUUGUUAGAGAUGUUGAAAUCUUGUGUGGGAAAGUUAAAUAUCCUGUUGAUUUUCUUGUUCUUGGUUCCCCACAAGAUGACUUUUAUCCCACUAUAUUUGGUAGACCCUUCUUGAAUACUGCUAGUGCUAAGAUAGACUGCAAAAAGGAUGUUGUUACUAUUGGUUUGGGGGAUAUAUCUCAUGAGUUUAAUUUUGCUAAAUUUCGUAGACAACCCCAUGAUAAAGAAUUGCCUAGUAAGGAUGAAAUUAUUGGUCUUGCUUCUAUUGCCGUGCCUCCUAAUGAUCCUUUAGAACAAUAUUUGCUAGAGCAUGAAAAUGAUAUGUUUAUGAAUGAAAGAAGGGAAAUAGAUGAAGUAUUCUUUAAACAAGGACCUAUUUUGAAACACAACUUGCCUGUUGAAAUUCUAGGGGAUCCUCCACCACCCAAGGGUGAUCCCGCGUUUGAGCUUAAACCGCUACCUGAUACUCUUGAAUAUGCUUAUCUUGAUGAAAAGAAGAUAUAUCCUGUUAUUAUUAGUGCUAACCUUUCAGAGCAGGAAGAGGAGAAAUUGUUGAAAACUCUCAAGAAGCACCGUGCUGCUAUUGGAUAUACUCUUGAUGAUCUUAAGGGCAUUAGUCCCACUCUAUGCCAACACAAAAUAAAAUUGGAAUAAGACGCCAAACCAGUUGUUGAUCGCCAAUGACGGUUAAAUCCUAAGAUGAAAGAAGUGAUAAGAAAAGAAAUACUAAAGCUCCUGGAGGCAGGUAUAAUUUAACCCCCUGCUGAUAGUUAGUGGGUAAGUCCUGUCCAUUGUGUCCCUAAGAAGGGAGGUAUUACUGUCAUUCCUAAUGAUAAAGAUGAAUUGAUCCUGCAAAGAAUUGUUACAUGUUAUAGCAUGGUAAUUGAUUUAUGCAAAUUAAAUAAAGCUACUAUAAAGGAUCAUUACGCUUUGCCUUUUAUCGAUCAAAUGCUAGAAAGAUUAUCCAAACAUACACAUUUUUGCUUUCUAGAUGGUUACUCUGGUUUCUCUCAAAUACUUGUGUCAAAAGAGGAUCAGGAAAAGACCACUUUUACUUGCCCUUUUGGUACUUUUCCUUAUAGACAUAUGCCUUUUGGUUUAUGUAAUGCACUUGCUACCUUUCAAAGAUGCAUGAUGGCUAUAUUCUAUGACUUUUGUGAAAAGAUUGUUGAGGUUUUCAUGGAUGAUUUCUCCAUUUAUGGAUCUUCUUUUGAUGAUUGCUUGAGCAACCUUGAUCGAGUUUUGCAGAGAUGCGAAGAAACUAAUCUUGUCUUGAAUUAGGAGAAGUGCCACUUUAUGGUUAAUGAAGGUAUUGUCUUGGGGCAUAAAAUUUCUGAAAGAGGUAUCGAAGUUGAUAAAGCUAAAGUUGAUGCUAUUGAAAAGAUGCCAUGUCCCAAGGACACUAAAGGUAUAAGAAGUUUCCUUGGUCAUGCCGGUUUUUAUAGGAGGUUCAUUAAGGACUUCUCUAAAAUUUCUAGGCCUCUGACUAGUCUCUUAUAAAAAGAUAUUCCUUUUGUCUUCCAUGAUGAUUGUGUAGAAGCAUUUGAAAUACUUAAGAAAGCUUUGAUUUCUGCACCUAUUGUUCAGCCACCUGAUUGGAAUUUACCCUUUGAAAUUAUGUGUGAUGCUAGUGAUUAUGCUGUAGGUGUUAUUCUAGGACAAAGAGUUGAUAAAAAACUAAAUGUUAUUCAAUAUGCUAGUAAAACUCUAGACAAUGCCCAGAGAAAUUAUGCUACUACUGAAAAAGAAUUUUUAGUAGUUGUAUUUGCUUGUGAUAAGUUUAGACCUUAUAUUGUUGACUCUAAAGCAACUGUUCACACUGAUCAUGCUGCUAUUAAAUAUCUUAUGGAAAAUAAAUAUGCUAAAUCUAGACUUAUUAGACGGGUUCUCCUACUACAAGAAUUUGAUUUGCAUAUUAUUGACAGAAAGGGAGCUGAGAACCCCGUUGCAGACAACUUGUCUAGGUUAGAGAAUGUUCUUGAUGACCCACUACCUAUUGAUGAUAGCUUUCCUGGCGAACAAUUAGUUGUCAUAAAUGCUUCUCGUACUGCUCCAUGGUAUACCGAUUAUGCUAAUUACAUUGUUGCUAAAUUUAUACCACCUAGUUUCACGUACUAGGAAAAGAAAAAGUUUUUCUAUGAUUUAAGACAUUACUUCUGGGAUGACCCACACCUUUAUAAAUAAGGAGUAGAUGGUGUUAUUAGACGUUGUGUACCUGAGCAUGAACAGGAACAGAUCCUACGCAAGUGUCACUCCGAGGCUUAUGGAGGACACCACGCUGGAGAUAGAACUACGCAUAAGGUAUUGCAAUCCGGUUUUUAUUGGCCUACUCUCUUCAAGGAUGCUCGUAAGUUUCUCUUGUCUUGAUGAAUGUCAAAGAAUUGGUAAUAUUAGUAGACGUCAAGAAAUGCCUAUGAAUUAUUCUCUUGUUAUUGAACCAUCUGAUGUUUGGGGCUUUGAUUAUAUGGGACCAUUUCCUUCCUCUAAUGGGUACACACAUUUUUUAGUUGCUGUUGAUUACAUUAAUAAAUGGGUAGAAGCUAUUCCAACUAGUAGUGCUGAUCAUAACACCUCUAUUAAGAUGCUUAAAGAAGUUAUUUUUCCAAGGUAUGGAGUCCCCAGAUACCUAAUGACCGAUGGUGGUUCACAUUUUAUUCAUGGUGCUUUUCGUAAAAUGCUUGCUAAGUCUGAUGUUAAUCAUAGAAUUGCAUCUCCAUAUCACCCACAGUCUAGUGGCCAAGUAGAACUGAGUAACAAAGAGCUUAAAUUGAUUUUGCAAAAGACUGUUAAUAGAUCUAGAAAGAAUUGGUCCAAGAAACUUGAUGAUGCAUUAUGGGCUUAUAGAACUGCAUAUAAAAAUCCUAUGGGUAUGUCUCCAUAUAAAAUGGUUUAUGGAAAAGCAUGUCACUUAUCUCUUGAACUAGAACAUAAGGCAUAUUGGGCCAUUAAAGAGCUCAAUUAUUAUUUCAAACUUGCCGGUGAGAAGAGGUUGUUUGACAUUAGCUCACUUGAUGAAUGGAGAACUCAAGCCUAUGAGAAUGCCAAACUGUUUAAAGAAAAAGUUAAAAGAUGGCAUGACAAAAGGAUACAAAAGCGUGAGUUUAAUGUAGGUGAUUAUGUGUUGCUUUUCACUCUCGUUUAAGAUUUUUUGUAGGAAAAAUCCUCUCUAAAUGGGAAGGUCCUUACGUUAUCGAGGAGCGUUCCGGUGCCAUAAAAAUCAACAACUUCGAAGGCACAAAUUCGAAGGUGGUGAACGGUCAAAGGAUCAAACAUUAUAUCUCAGGUAAUCCCAUAAAUGUUCAAACCAAUGUUAUUGAAAUCGUAACCCCGGAGGAAUACAUAAGGGACACUUUCCAGAACGUUUCAGACUCCGAAAAGGAUAGGUAUGUGGUACGGUAAGUAAACCGACCCCAAAACAGUUCUAAUAGCAGUUUUUCUCCGUUUUGGAAUAUUUAAGAGAAUAGGAAAAUAAGAAGUCGUUCGGGAAGGACACGAGGCAUCCACGAGGGUGGAGGGCGCGCCCCCUGCCUCGUGGGCACCUCGUGUGCUCUCCGGACUCCGUUUUCUUGCAUGGUACUUCUUUUUGUCGGUAAAAAAUCAUUAUAUGAUCUCUCGAAGGUUUUGAGCACCGUGCCACAACGAAAUCCUCUUUUUUUGUUUUGAGUUGUUUCUGCCACAGAUUAGAGCAAUAUGUCGUCCUAGGAUUCGAAGGGAGAAAGCUAUGUGGCUGAUUACCUUGCAGACCCUAAGGUCUAUGGGGACUUGGAGCAUUAUGGCUGGACCACUAAGGAAGAAGAAGACUACGAGCCUAAGGGAAAGGAGGAGAUGAGCUCGGAUGAAGAUGAAGCCCCAUUACGUCAAUGAUGAGGGCAUCAAUACCAUUGUUACACCCACAGCCCCUACUGCUACAUAUACUGGACCAAUUACUAGAGCUCGCGCACGCCAAUUAAAUUAUCAGGUACUUCCGUUUCUUGGUAAUAAUUCUAAUGUUCAUGAGAAUAUGAUGUUGCCUAAAUCGGAUACAUUUGUUUUGCUUACAAAUGAAGGGCCUGGCAUGGAUAAGAGGGAUGAACACUGGAGCAAGACCAAGCAUGGAGACAAUGGCAUGCGCAAGGGGAACAAGAACAGAGUUACAAGUGAUGAUUUCAGGACUUUGAAGCCACCAUAAUGAGUGCAUGAAGCCUUGGACGAAAUAUACAAGAUGCCACUUGAUACGUCUCCAACGUAUCUAUAAUUUUUUAUUGUUCCAUGCUAUUAUAUUGCCCAUUUUGCAUGUUUAUGGGCUUUACUUUACACUUUUAUAUCAUUUUUGGGACUAACCUACUAACCGGAGGCCCAGCCCGAAUUGCUGUUUUUUUUGCCUAUUUCAGUGUUUUGAAGAAAAGGAAUAUCAAAUGGAGUCCAAACGGAAUGAAACAUUCGGGAGCGAUCUUUUUGGAACAAACGUGAUCCAGAGGACUUGGAGUGGAAGUCAAGAAACAAGGGAGGCGGCCACGAGGGUGCCCGGCGCGCCCCAUAGGGCUGGGCGCCCCCACCCUCGUGGGCCCCUCGAGCGUCCACCGACCUACUUCUUCCUCCUAUAUACACCCAUGUACCCCGAAAACAUCAGAAGCGACCACGAAAAACUAUUUCCACCGUCGUAACCUUCUGUAUCCGCGAGAUCCCAUCUUGGAGCCUUCGCCGGCGCUCCGUCGGAGGGGGAAUCAAUCACGGAGGGCCUCUACGUCAACUCCAAGCCUCUCCGAUGAGUUGUGAGUAGUUUACCACAGACCUUCGGGUCCAUAGUUAUUAGCUAGAUGGCUUCUUCUCUCUCUUUGGAUCUCAAUACCAUGUUCUCCUCGAUUUUCUUGGAGACCUAUUCGAUGUAACUCUUUUUGCGGUGUGUUUGUCGAGAUCCGAUGAAUUGUGGGUUUAUGAUCAAGUUUAUCUAUGAGAAAUAUUUGAAUCUCCUCUGAAUUCUUUUAUGUGUGAUUAAUUUAUCUUUGCAAGUCUCUUUGAAUUAUCAGUUUGGUUUGGCCUACUAGAUUGAUCUUUCUUGCAAUGGGAGAAGUGCUUAGCUUUGGGUUCAAUCUUGCGGUGUCCUUUCCCAGUGACAGCAGGGGCAGCAAGGCACGUAUUGUAUUGUUGCCAUUGAGGAUAAAAAGAUGGGGUUUAUAUCAUAUUGCAUGAGUUUAUCCCUCUACAUCAUGUCAUCUUUCUUAAUGUGUUACUCUGUUCUUUAUGAACUUAAUACUCUAGAUGCAUGCUGGAUAGCGGUCGAUGUGUGGAGUAAUAGUAGUAGAUGCAGGCAGGAGUUGGUCUACUUGUCACAGACGUGAUGCCUAUAUACAUGAUCAUGCCUAGAUAAUCUCAUAAUUAUUCGCUUUUCUAUCAAUUGCUCGACAAUAAUUUGUUCACCCACCGUAAUACUUAUGCUAUCUUGAGAGAAGCCACUAGUGAAACCUAUGGCUCCCGGGUCUAUCUCUUAUCAUAUAAGCUUUCAAUCUACUUUUAUUUGCAUCUUUUACUUUUCCCAUCUAUAUCAUAAAAUACCAAAAAUAUUUAUCUUAUCAUAUUAUCUCUAUCAGAUCUCACUUUCGCAAGUGGCCUAGAAGGGAUUGACAACCCCUUUAUUGCGGUGGUUGCGAGUUCUUGUUUGUUUGUGUAGGUGCGUGGGACUUUUGAGGAGCCUCCUACUGGAUUGAUACCUUGGUUCUCAAAAACUGAGGGAAAUACUUACGCUAUUAUUGCUGCAUCACCUUUUCCUCUUCAAGGAAAACCAACGGAAGCUCAAGACGUAGCAAGAAGGAUUUCUGGCGCCGUUGCCGGGGAGGUUGAUGUGGAGCAUCCCACGUUCAUCCCCAUGUACACUCCGACUACUCUCCAAGCCCCAAGAGGACAUAUGAUGAGACCUCUAACAUACGCCAUUGGACCUAAGGUGAAUUCGCUCCUUUUCGAAUCUUCCCUUUCCGCAUGUAAGACAUGGCUGCUACUUCAAACGCGGACCUUGUGCAUACUCAGGUACACCCGAGGAGACCAUGGAGAACCCAAGGACCAAGGCCAAGCGUGCACGGAAGCAAAGGAAGGAGAAGGAAGAAGAGCCAGUUGCUACAGGCCCCGGACAUCCGGACCAGCCCGGACAUCCGGCCCGACCCCCGGAAAUCCGGUGCCCAUCACAGAACGCACCCGAAGUUGAACCCCGUCUGCCCGGACAUCUGUCCAGAGGCCCGGACAUCCGGCUCUUCCCGAGCUGCCAGACAUCCAGCCCCGAGCCCGGACAUCCGGACCCCGCCUAUCCAGAGAGCUCCGAGACCGGCCACUCCAGCUCGGACAUCCGGCUCGCUAGCCCGGACAUCCCGCACCUCGUGAAGGCCCGGACAUCCGGCCUCCCCUGCCUGCGUGCAGCGCGUCUGGGCCGAGGCCCAUGUACCCUUCGCCCCUUAGACUAUAUAUACUCCCCUCCACCUACGUUUUAGGGUUAGCAAAGGAUUAACUCAUUUGAGAUAGAGCUUUGCUCAUCCAUACGGAUCUCCUCCUCGUGAGAGACGACGGCCUCUUCGGAGAAGAUCCACCAUGGAUUCAAGACCCCUUUACGGGAAGAUUCCUUGUGGAUUCAAGACCUCCUCUCGGAGAUGAACUACCGCCACUUGUAUCAUCCUUUGUUGGAUUUGGACUGUGUAUCUCUUUGUGUUUCUUGGAUCUAGCACAUAUGUGAUCAUAUUCUCGUUGGUUGAGUGUUUUCCUCUUGUGUUUCCCCGUGAUUUUCCUCGUUCCACUUCUCACAUUCUUCAUGUUCCUCAUAGGGAUUCUCUCCAAACGUGAAAGAUCGGCCCCUAGGGUUCCACCCUACAUCAUCUUGGUAUUACGAGUCACGUUGAUCACGUUUUUGGAGCCACUACCCUUUGUUUUCUAGCUUGAUUUUGUUGAUUUCAUCCUAAAUCUGAAAAUCCCCACCAAAAAUAGCCCCAAUUUUUUUAUGAUUUGUUGGUUUGAUGAUGUUUUGUUGAUUUUGAUCCAUGGAUUUGCUUGGUUUCAAGUGGAUCUAGCAUCUCCCCAAGUUUCCCCACUUUCCAUCCACGAAAUCUCUCCAAUUUUGCCCCCCAAAUCAUCAAUUUUUGCCCCAAAAUCGAGUUCCUCGAGUUCAUCCUCGGAUUUGGAGCCCGGACAUCCGGCCCGACCCCCGGACAUCCGGCCAUUAGCCCGGACAUCCAGCUCCUGGAGCGCAUUUUCGCGCAAGGUUCUGGACAUCAGGUCCCGGACACCGGCCAAACCCCCGGAUGUCCGCCCGCUGUCAUUUCAGCUUUUCCCGUUUCACCGUUUUGACCAUAACUAAUUCAACUGGAGUCCGAUUUUGAUGUUCUUUAGCUCGUUUUGAAGCUAUUGACAUCCCGCAUCCCACAAAAAUACCACCAUAACCAUUUGAGUCCAUCAAAUAUUUGGAAAUUUGGCAAGUUUGCCUAGGCCCUCCACCAUAUAAUCCGCAUUACCACCACCGACUUCCGCAACCUAACUCAUUUUGAUCCAUAUAGCAUUAGUGGUUGCUUGAGUAGUGAUUUGUGUCUCCUAAGGUGUUUCAGCUACUUAGGGUCGAUUACUUCUUCAUCAACCACCACCUCCAUUUCCACAUAGCCUUGCCCACCACAAGAUGACUUUUAUCCCACUAUAUUUGGUAGACCCUUCUUGAAUACUGCUAGUGCUAAGAUAGACUGCAAAAAGGAUGUUGUUACUAUUGGUUUGGGGGAUAUGUCUCAUGAGUUUAAUUUUGGUAAAUUUCGUAGACAACCCCAUGAUAAAGAAUUGCCUAGUAAGGAUGAAAUUAUUGGUCUUGCUUCUAUUGCCGUGCCUCCUAAUGAUCCUUUAGAACAAUAUUUGCUAGACCAUGAAAAUGAUAUGUUUAUGAAUGAAAGAAGGGAAAUAGAUGAAGUAUUCUUUAUACAAGGACCUAUUUUGAAACACAACUUGCCUAUUGAAAUUCUAGAGGAUCCUCCACCACCCAAUGGUGAUCCCGUGUUUAAGCUUAAACCGCUACCUAAUACUCUUGAAUAUGCUUAUCUUGAUGAAAAGAAGAUAUAUCCUGUUAUUAUUAGUGCUAACCUUUCAGAGCAGGAAGAGGAGAAAUUAUUGAAAACUCUCAAGAAGCACCGUGCUGCUAUUGGAUAUACUCUUGAUGAUCUUAAGGGCAUUAGUCCCACUCUAUGCCAACACAAAAUAAAAUUGGAGUAAGACGCCAAACCAGUUGUUGAUCACCAAUGACGGUUAAAUCCUAAGAUGAAAGAAGUGGUAAGAAAAGAAAUACUAAAGCUCCUGGAGGCAGGUAUAAUUUAACCCCCUGCUGAUAGUUAGUGGGUAAGUCCUGUCCAUUGUGUCCCUAAGAAGGGAGGUAUUACUAUCAUUCCUAAUGAUAAAGAUGAAUUGAUCCUGCAAAGAAUUGUUACAUGUUAUAGCAUGGUAAUUGAUUUACGCAAAUUAAAUAAAGCUACUAUAAAUGAUCAUUACGCUUUGCCUUUUAUUGAUCAAAUGCUAGAAAGAUUAUCCAAACAUACACAUUUUUGCUUUCUAGAUGGUUACUCUGGUUUCUCUCAAAUACUUGUGUCAAAAGAAGAUCAGGAAAAGACCACUUUUACUUGCCCUUUUGGUACUUUUCCUUAUAGACAUAUGCCUUUUGGUUUAUGUAAUGCACUUGCUACCUUUCAAAGAUGCAUGAUGGCUAUAUUCUAUGACUUUUGUGAAAAGAUUGUUGAGAUUUUCAUGGAUGAUUUCUCCAUUUAUGGAUCUUCUUUUGAUGAUUGCUUGAGCAACCUUGAUCGAGUUUUGCAGAGAUGUGAAGAAAAUAAUCUUGUCUUGAAUUAGGAGAAGUGCCACUUUAUGGUUAAUGAAGGUAUUGUCUUGGGGCAUAAAAUUUCUGAAAGAGGUAUCGAAGUUGAUAAAGCUAAAGUUGAUGCUAUUGAAAAGAUGCCAUGUCCCAAGGACACUAAAGGUAUAAGAAGUUUCCUUGGUCAUGCCGGUUUUUAUAGGAGGUUCAUUAAGGACUUCUCUAAAAUUUCUAGGCCUCUGACUAGUCUCUUAUAAAAAGAUAUUCCUUUUGUCUUCCAUGAUGAUUGUGUAGAAGCAUUUGAAAUACUUAAGAAAGCUUUGAUUUCUGCACCUAUUGUUCAGCCACCUGAUUGGAAUUUACCCUUUGAAAUUAUGUGUGAUGCUAGUUAUUAUGCUGUAGGUGUUGUUCUAGGACAAAGAGUUGAUAAGAAACUAAAUGUUAUUCAAUAUGCUAGUAAAACUCUAGACAAUGCCCAGAGAAAUUAUGCUACUACUGAAAAAGAAUUUUUAGUAGUUGUAUUUGCUUGUGAUAAGUUUAGACCUUAUAUUGUUGACUCUAAAGCAACUGUUCACACUGAUCAUGCUGCUAUUAAAUAUCUUAUGGAAAAUAAAUAUGCUAAACCUAGACUUAUUAGACGGGUUCUCCUACUACAAGAAUUUGAUUUGCAUAUUAUUGACAGAAAGGGAGCUGAGAACCCCAUUGCAGACAACUUGUCUAGGUUAGAGAAUGUUCUUGAUGACCCACUACCUAUUGAUGAUAGCUUUCCUGGCGAACAAUUAGUUGUCAUAAAUGCUUCUCGUACUGCUCCAUGGUAUACCGAUUAUGCUAAUUACAUUGUUGCUAAAUUUAUACCACCUAGUUUCACGUACUAGGAAAAGAAAAAGUUUUUCUAUGAUUUAAGACAUUACUUCUGGGAUGACCCACACCUUUAUAAAUAAGGAGUAGAUGGUGUUAUUAGACGUUGUGUACCUGAGCAUGAACAGGAACAGAUCCUACGCAAGUGUCACUCCGAGGCUUAUGGAGGACACCACGCUGGAGAUAGAACUACGCAUAAGGUAUUGCAAUCCGGUUUUUAUUGGCCUACUCUCUUCAAGGAUGCUCGUAAGUUUCUCUUGUCUUGAUGAAUGUCAAAUAAUUGGUAAUAUUAGUAGACGUCAAGAAAUGCCUAUGAAUUAUUCUCUUGUUAUUGAACCAUUUGAUGUUUGGGGCUUUGAUUAUAUGGGACCAUUUCCUUCCUCUAAUGGGUACACACAUUUUUUAGUUGCUGUUGAUUACAUUAAUAAAUGGGUAGAAGCUAUUCCAACUAGUAGUGCUGAUCAUAACACCUCUAUUAAGAUGCUUAAAGAAGUUAUUUUUCCAAGGUAUGGAGUCCCCAGAUACCUAAUGACCGAUGGUGGUUCACAUUUUAUUCAUGGUGCUUUUCGUAAAAUGCUUGCUAAGUCUGAUGUUAAUCAUAGAAUUGCAUCUCCAUAUCACCCACAGUCUAGUGGCCAAGUAGAACUGAGUAACAAAGAGCUUAAAUUGAUUUUGCAAAAGACUGUUAAUAGAUCUAGAAAGAAUUGGUCCAAGAAACUUGAUGAUGCAUUAUUGGCUUAUAGAACUGCAUAUAAAAAUCCUAUGGGUAUGUCUCCAUAUAAAAUGGUUUAUGGAAAAGCAUGUCACUUAUCUCUUGAACUAGAACAUAAGGCAUAUUGGGCCAUUAAAGAGCUCAAUUAUUAUUUCAAACUUGCCGGUGAGAAGAGGUUGUUUGACAUUAGCUCACUUGAUGAAUGGAGAACUCAAGCCUAUGAGAAUGCCAAACUGUUUAAAGAAAAAGUUAAAAGAUGGCAUGACAAAAGGAUACAAAAGCGUGAGUUUAAUGUAGGUGAUUAUGUGUUGCUUUUCACUCUCGUUUAAGAUUUUUUGUAGGAAAAAUCCUCUCUAAAUGGGAAGGUCCUUACGUUAUCGAGGAGCGUUCCGGUGCCAUAAAAAUCAACAACUUCGAAGGCACAAAUUCGAAGGUGGUGAACGGUCAAAGGAUCAAACAUUAUAUCUCAGGUAAUCCCAUAAAUGUUCAAACCAAUGUUAUUGAAAUCGUAACCCCGGAGGAAUACAUAAGGGACACUUUCCAGAACGUUUCAGACUCCGAAAAGGAUAGGUAUGUGGUACGGUAAGUAAACCGACCCCAAAACAGUUCUAAUAGCAGUUUUUCUCCGUUUUGGAAUAUUUAAGAGAAUAGGAAAAUAAGAAGUCGUUCGGGAAGGACACGAGGCAUCCACGAGGGUGGAGGGCGCGCCCCCUGCCUCGUGGGCACCUCGUGUGCUCUCCGGACUCCGUUUUCUUACAUGGUACUUCUUUUUGUCGGUAAAAAAUCAUUAUAUGAUCUCUCGAAGGUUUUGAGCACCGUGCCACAACGAAAUCCUCUUUUUUUGUUUUGAGUUGUUUCUGCCACAGAUUAGAGCAAUAUGUCGUCCCAGGAUUCGGAGGGAGAAAGCUAUGUGGCUGAUUACCUUGCAGACCCUAAGGUCUAUGGGGACUUGGAGCAUUAUGGCUGGACCACUAAGGAAGAAGAAGACUACGAGCCUAAGGGAAAGGAGGAGAUGAGCUCGGAUGAAGAUGAAGUCCCAUUACGUCAAUGAUGAGGGCAUCAAUACCAUUGUUACACCCACAGCCCCUACUGCUACAUAUACUGGACCAAUUACUAGAGCUCGCGCACGCCAAUUAAAUUAUCAAGUACUUCCGUUUUUUGGUAAUAAUUCUAAUGUUCAUGAGAAUAUGAUGCUGCCUAAAUCGGAUACAUUUGUUUUGCUUACAAAUGAAGGGCCUGGCAUGGAUAAGAGGGAUGAACACUGGAGCAAGACCAAGCAUGGAGACAAUGGCAUGUGCAAGGGGAACAAGAACAAAGUUACAAGUGAUGAUUUCAGGACUUUGAAGCCACCAUAAUGAGUGCAUGAAGCCUUGGACGAAAUAUACAAGAUGCCACUUGAUACGUCUCCAACGUAUCUAUAAUUUUUUAUUGUUCCAUGCUAUUAUAUUGCCCAUUUUGGAUGUUUAUGGGCUUUACUUUACACUUUUAUAUCAUUUUUGGGACUAACCUACUAACCGGAGGCCCAUCCCGAAUUGCUGUUUUUUGCCUAUUUCAGUGUUUUGAAGAAAAGGAAUAUCAAAUGGAGUCCAAACGGAAUGAAACAUUCGGGAGCGAUCUUUUUGGAACAAACGUGAUCCAGAGGACUUGGAGUGGAAGUCAAGAAACAAGGGAGGCGGCCACGAGGGUGCCCGGCGCGCCCCCUAGGGCUGGGCGCGCCCCCACCCUCGUGGGCCCCUCGAGCGUCCACCGACCUACUUCUUCCUCCUAUAUACACCCAUGUACCCCGAAAACAUCAGAAGCGACCACGAAAAACUAUUUCCACCGUCGUAACCUUCUGUAUCCGCGAGAUCCCAUCUUGGAUCCUUCGCCGGCGCUCCGUCGGAGGGGGAAUCAAUCACGGAGGGCCUCUACAUCAACUCCAAGCCUCUCCGAUGAGUUGUGAGUAGUUUACCAUAGACCUUCGGGUCCAUAGUUAUUAGCUAGAUGGCUUCUUCUCUCUCUUUGGAUCUCAAUACCAUGUUCUACUCGAUCUUCUUGGAGACCUAUUCGAUGUAACUCUUUUUGUGGUGUGUUUGUCGAGAUCCGAUGAAUUGUGGGUUUAUGAUCAAGUUUAUCUAUGAGAAAUAUUUGAAUCUCCUCUGAAUUCUUUUAUGUGUGAUUAAUUUAUCUUUGCAAGUCUCUUUGAAUUAUCAGUUUGGUUUGGCCUACUAGAUUGAUCUUUCUUGCAAUGGGAGAAGUGCUUAGCUUUGGGUUCAAUCUUGCGGUGUCCUUUCCCAGUGAAAGAAGGGGCAGCAAGGCAUGUAUUGUAUUGUUGCCAUUGAGGAUAAAAAGAUGGGGUUUAUAUCAUAUUGCAUGAGUUUAUCCCUCUAUGUCAUGUCAUCUUUCUUAAUGUGUUACUCUGUUCUUUAUGAACUUAAUACUCUAGAUGCAUGCUGGAUAGCGGUCGAUGUGUGGAGUAAUAGUAGUAGAUGCAGGCAGGAGUUGGUCUACUUGUCACAGACGUGAUGCCUAUAUACAUGAUCAUGCCUAGAUAAUCUCAUAAUUAUUCGCUUUUCUAUCAAUUGCUCGACAGUAAUUUGUUCACCCACCGUAAUACUUAUGCUAUCUUGAGAGAAGCCACUAGUGAAACCUAUGGCUCCCGGGUCUAUCUCUUAUCAUAUAAGCUUUCAAUCUACUUUUAUUUGCAUCUUUUACUUUUCCCAUCUAUAUCAUAAAAUACCAAAAAUAUUUAUCUUAUCAUAUUAUCUCUAUCAGAUCUCACUUUCGCAAGUGGCCUAGAAGGGAUUGACAACCCCUUUAUUGCGGUGGUUGCGAGUUCUUGUUUGUUUGUGUAGGUGCAUGGGACUAUUGAGGAGCCUCCUACUGGAUUGAUACCUUGGUUCUCAAAAACUGAGGGAAAUACUUACGCUAUUAUUGCUGCAUCACCCUUUCCUCUUCAAGGAAAACCAACGGAAGCUCAAGACGUAGCAAGAAGGAUUUCUGGCGCCGUUGCCGGGGAGGUUGAUGCGGAGCAUCCCAUGUUCAUCCCCAUGUACACUCCGACUACUCUCCAAGCCCCAAGAGGACAUAUGAUGAGACCUCUAACAUACGCCAUUGGACCUAAGGUGAAUUCGCUCCUUUUCGAAUCUUCCCUUUCCGCAUGUAAGACAUGGCUGCUACUUCAAACGCGGACCUUGUGCAUACUCAGGUACAUCCGAGGAGACCAUGGAGAACCCAAGGACCAAGGCCAAGCAUGCACGGAAGCAAAGGAAGGAGAAGGAAGAAGAGCCAGUUGCUACAGGCCUCGGACAUCCGGACCAGCCCGGACAUCCGGCCCGACCCCCGGAAAUCCGGUGCCCAUCACAGAACGCACCCGAAGUUGAACCCUGUCUGCCCGGACAUCUGUCCAGAGGCCCAGACAUCCGGCUCUUCCCGAGCUGCCAGACAUCCAGCCCCCAGCCCGGACAUCCGGACCCCGCCUAUCCAGAGAGCUCCGAGACCGGCCACUCCAGCUCGGACAUCCGGCUCGCUAGCCCGGACAUCCCGCACCUCGUGAAGGCCCGGACAUCCGGCCUCCCCUGCCUGCGUGCAGCGCGUCUGGGCCGAGGCCCAUGUACCCCUUCGCCCCUUAGACUAUAUAUACUCCCCCUCCACCUACGUUUUAGGGUUAGCAAAGGAUUAACUCAUUUGAGAUAGAGCUUUGCUCAUCCAUACGGAUCUUCUCCUCGUGAGAGACGACGGCCUCUUCGGAGAAGAUCCACCAUGGAUUCAAGACCCCUUUACGGGAAGAUCCCUUGUGGAUUCAAGACCUCCUCUCGGAGAUGAACUACCGCCACUUGUAUCAUCCUUUGUUGGAUUUGGACCGUGUAUCUCUUUGUGUUUCUUGGAUCUAGCACAUAUGUGAUCAUAUUCUCGUUGGUUGAGUGUUUUCCUCUUGUGUUUCCCCGUGAUUUUCCUCGUUCCACUUCUCACAUUCUUCAUGUUCCUCGUAGGGAUUCUCUCCAAACAUGAAAGAUCGGCCCCUAGGGUUCCACCCUACAUCAUCUUGGUAUCAUGAGUCACGUUGAUCACGUUUUUGGAGCCACUACCCUUUGUUUUCUAGCUUGAUUUUGUUGAUUUCAUCCUAAAUCCGAAAAUCCCCACCAAAAAUAGCCCCAAUUUUUUUAUGAUUUGUUGGUUUGAUGAUGUUUUAUUGAUUUUGAUCCAUGGAUUUGCUUGGUUUCAAGUGGAUCUAGCAUCUCCCCAAGUUUCCCCACUUUCCAUCCACGAAAUCUCUCCAAUUUUGCCCCCCAAAUCAUCAAUUUUUGCCCCAAAAUCGAGUUCCUCGAGUUCAUCCUCGGAUUUGGAGCCCGGACAUCCGGCCCGACCCCCGGACAUCCGGCCAUUAGCCCGGACAUCCAGGUCCUGGAGCGCAUUUUCGCGCAAGGUUCUGGACAUCAGGUCCCGGACACCGGCCAAACCCCCGGAUGUCCGCCCGCUGUCAUUUCAGCUUUUCCCCUUUCACCGUUUUGACCAUAACUAAUUCAACUGGAGUCCGAUUUUGAUGUUCUUUAGCUCGUUUUGAAGCUAUUGACAUCUCGCAUCCCACAAAAAUACCACCAUAACCAUUUGAGUUCAUCAAAUAUUUGGAAAUUUGGCAAGUUUGCCUAGGCCCUCCACCAUAUAAUCCGCAUUACCACCACCGACUUCCGCAACCUAACUCAUUUUGAUCCAUAUAGCAUUAGUGGUUGCUUGAGUAGUGAUUUGUGUCUCCUAAGGUGUUUCGACUACUUAGGGUCGAUUACUUCUUCAUCGACCACCACCACCAUUUCCACAUAGCCUUGCCCACCAUACAUUUCGCCAACCCAUUAACCCAAUUUUGUUAGAGUUUUUUUGAGUUGAGGCUUGUGUCUCCUAAGGUGUUUCGGCUACUUAGGGACGACAACUUCAACUACGACAUGUGUAUAGCCCAUCAUUUCACUUCCGCAUUGCCAAGUGCAAGCCACUACCGCUUUCCGCUACCACCAUCUUGACAUUUGACGUUUGAGAUUUUGAGUUUGCGGUUUUUCCAUUUCCUAGGGUGUUUCGGCUAACUAGGAAUGGGUUGACAUCGACAAUACCGUCUCUCAUCAUCGCCUCGAGGUCGUCAUCGACUUUGACCACUUCACCAUCAUCCGUCCAUGGCGUACAUACGAGAAACACUCGACGGUAACCUCCAUAUCAUCUUGGUAUCGUGGUAUCCCUCCAUUGUAUAUUCCCCUUGCCAUUGCAUUGUUAACCCCUAGCCCAUUUUGCGUUACUUGCCUAUCGAGACUAGCCAUUUGAGUAUUGUCGGCAAUGUGACUUGUGCACAUUAGUUAUCAUACUUCCCAUAGCAUACAUACCAUAUCAUCGUGGUGCAUAUAUUGGUAUCAUAUCUUGUGUCACAAGUUUGUUCCCGCAUAUACAUAAUAUCUAUCUUGGUUUGUGCAUUGUGCAAAAGUGGCCAUACAAAAAAAAAGUAAUAAAGCUUUUAAGCAAAAGAGAAAGAGCAAAGAAGCUUGUAAUAAAGUGCCAUAGCAUCAUACCACAUUUCAUAUAAGAUUGUCAUAUCCGAUCAUCUUGGAUCAUCUUGUGAGAAACACCCAGAACCAUACAUACAUAGCAUACUUGGGAUAGAAAGUUUAUCCAUUUUGCACCUUAUAGGUUGUGCACAAGUGUCGUAUCCGCCUAUAGAGCAAUCGUUCUAGCGUCUCUCUUGAGUUGUGCAACACGAGCGCUUUUCGGUGGAUUCCACAUUUUGUGCUCAUUCCUUGGUUGCACGACCCCAUCUAUCUAUCCGUGUGUGUGUUUCUGUGUACCUUUCAUUGCUAUUGGUCUACUUGUUUCGCUUGCAAAUUUGUGAAUCUCUUUCAACAUUAUUGACUCUUGCUAACAUUUUGCAUCAAUUUUUUGUGCCACUAUCCUCACCGAGCUCCACCAUAAGCUUUACUUGUGUAGGUGUGAGAACCGACAAGAAUUGGUACCAAUUGUGCUAUUUCCUUGUUACACAUUUGAGUGAUCAUUGAUCCAUCUUCAACAUCGGUCAAGGUACAUUUGGUCUAGUUCUUCUCUUUCUACCACUCAUAUUUGCUCGAGUCUUGUGAUGGAUAGGCAAGGCAUUUCAUCUCCGGUCUUCAACAACCACGACGGCGUGAACAACUACAUCAACAAAGCGUCCAUCUUCGAUCUACAAUGACAAAUGCAAGGCGCACAAUCAAGACUGCGAGAGUGCAACGAGAACAUCUCCAUUGACAUUCGUCACUCUGAAGCAAGGAAAAUGGACUACAUCGACAAGAAGCUUUCCGCACAUAAAGAGGAGCAAGAUGCAAGGAUGGAGGAGAUUAGAGCCUUGAUCAAGUCUUCUUCCCCUUUGUCAUCUUCAAGGCAGCAACAUUCAAGCCACAAGUAUUCGAAGCGUGAAAAUGAUGCAAGCGCAAUUCGUCCUCAUCCACAUCUCCAUGGCGACCACCAUCACGUUCGUGAUCAACAUCGUCAUGAAGGGCAAGUCACCUCCAAGCAUCAUGUGCACGACGACGACGAACGCCUACGAGCUCAAGCAGGACAACGACACCAUCAUCAUGAAGAUGCUCCACAAGCGCAAACAUACAAGUCCCAACAAGCCCUACUUCACGCCAAGUCGAAGCUUCAUGAUCAAAAGAGAAGACCGCGAGACUAGCACCACCAAGACGGAGCUACGAAUACCACCACCACUUCGGCAUCUUCGCCAAGUGCUAUCAAGGCAUCUUCGCCUUUGGACGUACGGCAUCUUUGCCUACUUCCCAUGAGUUUGCCUACACCGACAUCUUCAACAACAAGGCGACUACCUACGAGCGAGGGUGACACUUCCAUCUUUGGAAGCCCCUCAAGGAAGAUGACCGAUCAUGGGAAACUCCCUUAGGUCAUGGAGACGAGCUACGAGGUGCCACAUCAUAUGGACCUCCAACACCAAGACGGUGACAAGAAGGUCCAACAAGGGCCAUCCCCUUCGACCACAGUGACGAGCGCGAACCUCUUCAACAACACAUGAAGAUGACGCCCAUAUUGGACUCAUACUCGGAGUCAAGCUACGCGACCACGCAUGGAGACAUUUGCACCUACAUCUCUCCGACACCCACAUAUGUCGAGAUGCCCCAUUUGUCUCGUGGGGAGAGCCACCACCCCAUGAGUGAGAUGAGUGACUCCACCAUAUAUGACAUUGAGAGCAUUUCCUAUGAGAGGAUGAGUGUGACCACCACUAGCCACACACAUGAGAGCCCACACAUCCUAUGUGAGGUUGAGCGCCAUUUGAGUGACUCCACCAACCAUAUGAGUGAAAGCAUCCUUGAGGGAGUGAGUGAGCCACAACACUUAGAGAGUGAAGUAGUUGACACGGCACGUGAGGCCACUGUGAUUUCUAACGAGUUAACCUCUACUCCGAGUGUGUUUUCUUUGGUGCUAGGUCUCCUACAUGACGACAUGCCUACCCUCGAUGAGUCCAUCCCUCCAAUGGAUAUGACGAUGGCCAUGAUGGACGAUGAUGCACCCCCCACAUGGUUCCAUCAAGAUGAAGAGGACAACGAGUGGAUCUUCGACACCUCACCUAGAACACAUGAGCGAUGCUCCAAAGGUAACAUAGGUGAUGGUGCUUCUCUUAUCCCACUAGUGGACUAUCUUGACAUUGAUUGCUUCCAUGAUGUUGACCCACCUAUUUCCCAUGCUUCAUGCUAGUGAGACUUCUUCAUGCCUUGACUUACCUAUUUAUGAUGAAUAUGAUGAUGAGCAUGUUGAGUUGCCUAGUUGUGAUGCUAUGCUCCAUAGGAUAUCAUGUGAAAAUUCUUUUGGUCACGUCAUGUUUGACAACCCAUUGAACUUGUCAUAUGCUAUGAGUGAGAUCUCUCAUAUUGCAUCAUUUCAAUCUCAACAUAGUAACUAUGCAUGCCCCAUUAAAAUAAAUCCUAUUUGCACCUAUGGCAUAGAUGACGAGAUGAUGGUCAUUGGAUUUUGUUUUUCAUGUGAUGAUAUUGCCAUGCUUCCUUUACAUGAUUUGCGCAAUUCAUCUACUAUGCCAUGCCAUGAUCACAUUCAACCAAAUAUGCUUUGUUUGGAUGUUGUCAAUAUUCUCCAUGUGAUGUUGCUACUCAUGCUCAUGAGGAGACCCCCAUGGUUUCCUCAUACAUAUUCUGAAAUCUUGAUGCAUUUCAUACUUUGCAUGAUUCCCAUGAUUGCGUGCACCAUAUGCAUUCCAUGAAUAACAAUGCUCUAGAUAUUGCUCAUGAUGCAUUACACAAUUUGAGUCUCCAUUAUGUCAUACAUAACAACAAACCCAUCAUGAUGGAUGACAUGUUUCUAUAUCACGCAUCCCAUUUAUUUGAGCAUUUGAUAUUUUGUGCUAACCGACACAUGCAUGUGCGCAUCAUGAUGGAUGAUGUGUACAUAUAUCACGCACACACAAUUUUUCCUUUGUCUUUGUUUUGUGUAGGAACUCACAUAUACUCGUCAACAUCUCAAUCCCAAGAGUUGACGAAACAAGCUCUUGAGAGCAACGAUGACUUGGGAUCCCGCGGACUAUCCUUACCACCAUUCCCUUUGCGCAAGGACUACGCGCAUCUCUUCUACUUGGCUCUCACACGGCUAUGGGCUAUUUACCACUUCUCACCUUAUGCCCAUACUGUCAUGUUCACUUUGCAUGUUAUGCCUCUUUACAUGAUUUUGCCAUGCAAUUGUGACCCUUGCUUGCAUCUACCCAUGAUUCACCAUUAUGCUACUUCUAUGUGUAUUUGCAUGCUUGGUGGAGAUCCUUGUUGCUAUUGUCAUGUUUAUCAUGUGCCCCAUGCUAUUGAUGCUUGUUGUGUUGGGAGAGUCAUGAUGACACAUUGCUAUUUACAUAUGGUCCUCGCCAAUACAUUGAUGAUAUUUUGCUCAUAUCUUGCUUUCAUGCUUGUGCUAUGUCAUGUGAAUUAUUCAUGCCCACUAUUUGCACACAUGACAUGCUUGCCAUGAUUCCUUCUAGUAAGUUGCAUCUUCGCACUACUAGCUUGCUUAACUUGAUCACUAUGAUUGCUUGGUUGCAUCACCCAUGUUCCACUACUACUCGCUUUCUUGGGUUGAUGACAUAUAUGCUCAUGCCUCUCACAUGAUAUAUCUUGAUCAUUGUCUCAUGUCUCAAUUAGUUGCCUCUCUCAUAUCCACUUAUAUUGAGUGCAACCAUACUAUGCUUAUUGAUCUUGGAGACCUUGACACCUUACUUGUGAUGCAUGCUUGUUUACUUGAGCCUCUUGUAUUUGGUUGUUCUCGCAUCAUAUGCCUCCAUACUAUGAAAUGCUCCCUUGUACCUUCUUAUGAUGAGCAUGAUGCAUACACUUGUUGGGUAUCUCAUGCGGAGCAUCCCUCGACUACUUGCACCGACACUCCAUCACCACCGCAAGCUCCAAGUGGUCCAAUGACACGAGCACGUGCACGCACCAUCGAGAACGAGGUUGAUUCUCUCCUCUUCGAGUCUCAUUUGAAUUCACAUGAGAAUUGGGUUCUACCUCACAAGGACAUGUUACGCAUUUUAGGAUACCAAGGAGACGAUCAAGAGAAGGAGAAGACGGAGACUCAAGUGACCUCGAAGCAAGGAAAGGAAGAGAAGGAAGAAGAGAACGAGAAGGACGAAGAGGAAGGAGAAGGGGCAAACCCCCUGGACGCCCCGGGUGCCCGGCACCUGCAGCCCUCGGGUGCCCGGGCCCCUGGCCACCUAUAGCCGCACCCCCGGGUGCCCGGGCCUUGGCUGGCCGGGUGCCCGCCCCCCCUCUGCCCCAGCAGCUGGGCUCGGCCCCGGGUGCCCGGCCUUGAGGCCCCGGGUGCCCGGCCGCUCCACCCGGCCAUCUCCAGUGACACCCCCGGGUGCCCAGCCGCCCCGCCCGGUCCUCUCCAGCACCACCCCCGGGUGCCCGGGACUUGGGCCCCCGGGUGCCCGGCCACAUGCCAGCCGGACCCUGAGCCGUCCGGGUGCCCGGCCCAAGUUGCCCGGGUGCCCGGCCCCCUUCACCCAGCCGCAUGUUGAUGGCCUUUUUGGCCUUGUACCCCUCUUUUCUUGCAUUGUGUUGCCCCUAGACUAUAUAAGGACACCUCCUAGGUCAUUUGGAAGGGUAGCAAAGAUUAGACUAAGCAUUGUGAGCCUUUGCUCCUUGUAUCCCCUCCUCUUAGGAGCUCAAGCCCCCACCUAGGGAAGAAUCCAUUGGAUUAUCAAGGCCUCCUCUUGGAGAAGAUCAUCAAGACCUCACAUAGUGGGAAGAAUUUACCAAGUGCUAAUCUCCUUGUAUUGAUCUUGUAAUCUUGUGGAUCUCAUGUGUGCUACUCUAGUGGAUGUGAUACUUGGGUUUGUUUGAGAGAUUUGUCCUUGGUGUUCUUGAGUUUUCCCUCCUUUUUCCCCCUCCAAGUGUGAAAAGAUCCUUCCUAGGGUUUGACCCUACAAGAUCUUGGUAUCAUGAGCAAGGUUUAUUCACAUCUUGGAGUCCUAUCCCCCCAUUUGCUAGCUUGAUUUUGUUGUUUUUCGUCCAAAUCCGAAAAUCCCCACAAAAAUAGCCCCAAAAUUUUUUGUUGCAAUUUGUUGGAUCUUGUGAGAUUUGGUUGUUUUGGUCCAUGGAUUUGAUGUUUGGCAAGUGGAUCUAGCCCCUUCCCAACAAUCCCCACCCUUCCCACCAUGAAAUCCAUCGAAUUUGGCCUUUCCCCCAAAGACUUCCGCCCAAAUCGGCCACCACCGGGUGCCCGCACCUCGAACCACCGGGCACCGGCACCACGCCAGCCACCCCCGGGCACCCGCACCUCACACCCCUGGGUGCCCGCACCCACCCAAAUCAGCCCACUACCAACACCAUUUUGGCCAUAACUUCCACCUCCCAAGCCCGUUUUUCGUGUUCUUUAGCUCGUUUAGAAGCUCUUGACAUCCCCCAUCCACUCAUCCCACUACCAUCACCAUUAACCCCCAUCCAAAAAAUCAUCACAAAAACACCAACCUUCCGCAUUUGACCGAUUUUGUGUUGCCAUUUGCGUUUCCUAAGGUGUUUCGGCUACUUAGGAGCGUGUGACAUCUUCGUCACCAUCAUCGACUCGGAGUCAUAUUCAUCGCUAACCGUAAGAAAGGACGGUAACCUCGACGACACUUACUCCUUACCUUGCUUUUGCUUUGAUAGCCCGAGCCACUUUGCGUCGCUUACCCAUUGAGACUAGCAAGUUGAGAAUUGUCGGGCCACGCUUUUUGUGCAUCGUAGUGACCGUGUUAUCAUCUUAGUGCCAUAAGUCUCUCCCGUGCAUAUCAUACAUACUUGUCUCAUAUCAUACUCGGCUCGAGCAUCAAGCAUAGAAAAAAAGAGAAGAAAAGCUUUUAAGAAAAGAGGAGAAACAAAGAGCUUGUAAGCAAUAGAGUGAGCCAUUUGCAUUCCUAUAUCAUCUUGGUCAUCGCAUAUAUACCAUAGUUGGGAUUGAAGACGGAACGGUUCUCUCAUAGGUAGGUGCACGAGCGUAUCUUGCCCAUUUGAGCAAUCGAGCUAGUGUGUCUCGAGCAUUCGCACAACAAGAUCAUUUUUCGUGGUUGCACAUUUCGAGCUCACUCCUUGGUUGUGCGGAUCCCAUCUAUCUUCCGUGCGUGUGUACCUAGUGAUACCGUUGGGUUUGAUCUAUUUGCUUUACUUGCAUUUUUGUGAACCUUCUCAACCUUAUCGAUAUCUUAACUAACAUUUGCUUGAAAUUUUUGCCACAAUCCUAACCGAGCUACUCCAUAAGCCUCUUACUUGUAGGUGUGAGAAACAAACCUGGUUCCAAUUCUCCUAUCGUGGCAUUACAUUGAGUGACACUUGUUACAUCUUCAAUCCUCGGAGAAGGUAACUUUGGUAUUGUUCUCUCACUUUCCUACUCACCCCACUUGGUUAUGAUGGAUAGGCCAAGCACGUCGUCGAACCCACUUUUCGAGGAGCAAGGUGAUGAUUCCGAAUAUGUCUCCAAGAACCACUUCUUCAUCGCGCAACGAGCGCUUCAUCAAGAAAACGUCGCUUUGGGUGAACGCUUCGAACAACUCGCCUCCGACCUUCGUCAAAACAUCGACGACAAAUUCAACACACAAAUGGAAGAGCUCCGCAACAUGAUCGUUCGACGCCCGUCUUCCUCAUCGGCUUCUUCAAGACGACGCCACUCAAGUCACCGUACAAGUCGACACUCUUCGGACUAAUCUUCUUAUGAUGCAAGUCCACCACGAGCUUGCCCUCCUCGACGUGAUCAUCAUCAAGCUCACCAAGCUCAAGAAAAUCCAUUCCAUGGCAAUGGAUUACAAGACCGAGUUCGAGCACGUGGAUGCGACACCAAGUCCCUCAUGGAGCAAUGGAGCAAGAGCAAAUACCUCCACAAGUACCACCUCAAGCCCCUCAAGACGGUGAUGCACUUCGACAAGCACAAGAGCAACGUGAAGCACAAGCCCUCGACCGUGAAGCUCAAGCACUUGAAUCACAACAAGCUCUACGCGAGGCCACUAGAGCCGUUGAAGUCCGCAACCGCCAAGUGCGAGAACAAGAGGAAGCUCUUCGACGCGAGAUACAAGAAGAAGCCGCCCGACGCGAAGAACAACAAGAAAGGCGCAACCAAGCGCACAUUCCUCGCCCUCCUCCAAGACAAGAGUGACACCAAGUGGAACAAGUGCUUCAAGACCCUCCUCCAUGCCAAGAGCGACAUCAUGAGGAACGAGCAUUUGAGGACUUUCCGAGACAAGAGCGAUAUCACAACCGCUAUCAAGAUGAAGAACUCCGCUACGGCAAGCUCAAGUUCACCAUGCCAAAGUUCUCCGGAAGUAAUGAUCCCGAAGAAUAUCUCUCUUGGGCAUUGAAGGUGGACAAGAUUUUUCGCCUCCACAACUACGAUGAAGAAAAGAAGAUAGCAAUGGCCUCCCUCGAAUUCCAAGACUACGUCCUCAUUUGGUGGGAACAAGUGAUCGAGCGACGACAUACAAGAGGCGAACCACCAAUCACAACUUGGGAAGCCAUGAAGGAAGUCAUGAGAGCCCGCUUUGUGCCUACUCACUACACUCGAGAUCUUUUCAAGAAGUUGCAACUCCUCAAGCAAGGCACCAAGACGGUGGAAGAAUACUACCGAGAAAUGGAGAUUGCCAUGAUACGAGCCAAUGUCAAGGAAGAUGACGAGCAAACAAUGGCACGUUUCUUGAACGGCCUCAACCACCCAAUCAAGCGGAUCGCCGACUUCCAACCAUACUCCAACCUUCUUGAGCUAGUUCAUCAAGCGACCAAGGCCGAGCGACAAGUACAAGAUGACUUCAAAUACGCCAAGUACUCGUCCAAGACCUACGGCUCCUACUCUCAAGCUCCCGCGACUUCGGCACCUCCUACAUCAACUCGAGCAUCACCAAGUACCGGCGACAAGUCAAGUUCCAAGCAAGUGGCACCUUCCUCGACUCGUCCUCCGGCAAGCACCUACAAAUCCAAGACUCCUUCAUCUUCGGCGCCUCCCGAUGAUCCCGUCAAGACAAGUUCAAUCAAGUGCUUCACAUGUGGCGGCCGAGGCCACAAGUCCUUCCAAUGCACCAAUAAGCGAACGAUGAUCUUCAACGAUGACGACACAUAUGACUCAAUGAGUGAAGAAGAAAUGGAAGCCAUUGAGCACGUGGCCAUGCACCGGCGCGUGAAUGAAGAUGAAGAUGACCAAGUCUUUUGUGACAAUGAUUCAAGUCCCUCUCUCGUGGUGUCCGAGGUCUUGACGCUCCAGCACCACCAAGAAGAAGACCAACGGUGCCACAUCUUCCACACCAAGGCCGACAUCAAUGGAAGGUCCAUCAAGGUCAUCAUCGAUGGAGGUAGUUGCCACAAAUUGGCAAGUGAGGAACUAUGCUCCAAGCUUCAAUUGGUCAAGAGGAAGCAUCCGCACCCUUAUAGGGUUCAAUGGCUAAGUGACUCCAGCACUAUCCGAGUUGUGCAUAUGGUACAAGUCUCCUUCAAAAUUGGUGCAUAUGAGGACACUUUGGAGUGUGAUGUGGUCCCAAUGACCGUUUGCCACCUCCUUCUUGGUCGACCAUGGCAAUUCGACCGUGGUGUUAUCCACAAUGGGCGUACCAAUCACUAUAGCUUCAAGAUGAAAGGGAAGGAAUAUGUGCUACGACCUAUGUCUCCUAGUCAAGUGAUAGCCGACAAGCAAGCCACCCACCAUGGAGAGAAGAGUGAGAAAGUGAGCCACCCAAAUGUGAGUGAGAGCCACAAGCCAAACUUGAGCGCCUCUUCGCCUAGAGAGAAAAACCUCAUACUAUUUGCCACAAAAAGUGAGAUGAGAGAAGUGUGUGAGAACCCAUUGAGUGUGAUGCACUUUGUCCUUGUGUGCAAGGAUGGAGAACCAAAAACUAACACCGUUCAUGAGCUACCUUUGGUGUUUCAAUCUCUUUUGCAGGAAUUUCAAGAUGUUUUCCCCGAUGAGCUACCUCCGGGUCUCCCUCCUCUUCGAGGCAUUGAGCAUCGAAUCGACCUCAUCCCCGGUGCUCCUCUUCCAAACAAGGCUCCCUACCGCGUCAACCCCGACGAGACAAAGGAGAUUCAACGGCAAGUACAACAACUCAUCGACAACGGUCAUGUACGUGAAAGCUUAAGCCCUUGUGCCGUUCCCAUUAUACUUGUGCCCAAGCAAGAUGGUAGCUUUCGCUUGUGUUCCGAUUGUAGACCCAUAAAUGCUAUUACCGUUUGCUAUAGGCAUCCCAUUCCUCGCUUAGAUGAUAUGCUUGAUGAACUUAGUGGAGCCAACUUUUUCUCAAAAAUUGAUCUUAAAAGUGGCUAUUAUCAAAUCCGCAUACCAGUUGGUGAUGAAUGGAAAACUGCUUUCAAAACCAAAUUUGGCUUAUAUGAAUGGUUAGUCAUGCCUAUGGGUUUAUCGGAGGCUCCUGGUACUUUCGUGCGUCUCAUGCAUCACGUACUUCGCCCUUAUAUUGGAGUUUUUGUUGUGGUUUACUUCGAUGAUAUUCUUGUGUUUAGCAAAACCAUGAAAGAGCAUAUUAAUCAUGUUAGGGCUGUUUUGCAAACCCUUCGCCAGGAAAGUCUUUAUGCCAACAUGAAAAAGUGCACAUUUGGUGUUAACAAAGUGGUUUUCUUGUGUUUCGUUGUAUCUUCCAAGGGUGUCCAUGUUGAUGAAUCUAAAAUUGAAGCAAUUAAAAAUUGGCCCCAACCCACCAAUUUGCAACAAGUGCGAAGUUUUCUUGGUCUUGCGGGUUUUUAUCGUCGCUUUGUGAAAGAUUUUAGCACUAUUGCCGCUCCUUUGCAUGCUUUGAGCAAGAAGAAUGCUCCUUUUGUUUGGGGACCUUUGCAAUCAACCGCUUUUGAUGAGCUCAAAUCUUUGCUUACACAUGCUCCGACUCUUGCUUUACCCAACUUUGACAAAACUUUUGAGGUUCAUUGCGAUGCAAGUGGUACCGGAAUUGGUGGAGUUUUGAUGCAAGAAAAACGAGCUAUUGCUUAUUUUAGUGAAAAACUUUCCGGUGCUCAACUUAACUAUCCCAUCUAUGACAAAGAAUUGUUUGCUUUAGUGCGUGUGUUACAUGUGUGGGAGCAUUACCUUAGACCGCAUGAGUUUGUCAUACAUACCGAUCAUGAAACACUUAAAUACCUCAAAGGUCAAACCAAGUUGAACAAAAGGCAUGCUAAAUGGAGUGAAUUCAUUGAUUCUUUUCCCUAUGUGAUAAAGUACAUUAAGGGCAAAGAAAACGUGGUGGCGGAUGCCCUUUCCCGCAAAUGCAUGUUACUUACUCAACUUGAAUUGAAUAUCACAGGAUUUGAUCAUAUCAAAGAUUUGUAUGAGAGUGAUGUGACUUUUGCUACUCCUUACGCUAAGUGUGUGACGCAUACUUCUUGGGAACAAUAUUAUAUCAAAGAUGGUUACCUUAUGAGAUCUAACAAACUAUGCAUUCCCAAGUUCUCUCUUCGUUUGCUCCUUUUGCAAGAGGCUCAUGGAGGUGGACUCAUGGGACACUUUGGACGCGACAAGAAUUUCACCACGCUCUCCAAGAACUAUUAUUGGCCCAAGAUGUUUCGCGAUGUUGCCCGCUUCACCAACCGGUGCUCUACAUGUUGCAAAGCUAAGUCACACUCUCAAUCCCAUGGUUUACAUAUGCCUUUACCUAUCCCACAUCAACCUUGGGAAGACAUUAGCAUGGAUUUUGUGCUUGGAUUACCUAGAACUCAAAUGGCAAGGAUUCGGUUUUUAUUGUUGUGGACCGUUUCUCUAAAAUGGCUCAUUUUAUCCCAUGCAAUAAGAUAGACGAUGCUUCACGUGUUGCCAAUCUUUUUUGUAGGGAAAUCUUGAGGUUGCACAGCGUGCCAAAGACAAUUGUGUCGGAUCGAGACGUCAAGUUCUUAAGCUACUUUUGGAAGACACUAUGCGCCAAAGGUCGGGAUCAAGCUACUAUUCUCCACGGCAUAUCAUCCUCAAACCGAUGGACAAACGGAAGUCACCAACCGGACGCUUGUGACUCUCCUACGUGUGUUGAUCAAGAAGAACAUCAAGGAGUGGGAGGAGUGCCUACCCAUCGCCGAGUACGCCUACAAUCAUGCAAGACACUCUACAACCGGCAAGUCCCCCUUCGAGGUCGUCUACGGUUUCAACCCUUUGUCGCCAUUGGAUAUCCUUCCUCUACCGCUUCAAGAACGAGCAAACAUGGACGCAAGUGCAAGAGCCGCCUAUCUCAAGAAGAUGCAUGAAGAAACACGUUCCACGAUCGAGCGCCAAGUGCAACGCCUCUCCGCCAAGCUCAACAUCAACAAGUCUCCGAUGGUGUUCCAACCGGGUGAUCAAGUAUGGAUACAUCUUCGCAAAGACCGCUUCCCCAAGGAACACAAGUCCAAGCUACUACCAUGAGCCGACGGACCAUUCAAGGUGAUCGCACGCUACAACGAUAACGCCUACAAGGUCGACAUCCCACGCGACAAGUACAACGUUAGCGACAUCUUCAACGUCAAAGACUUGGCCAAGUAACAUGGUGAUGAAGAGCACGAUCCAUGGACGGAUCUCUCCCGAGGAGGGGAAGAUGAUGCGGAGCAUCCCUCGACUACUCGCACUGACACUCCAUCACCACCGCAAGCUGCAAGUGGUCCAAUGACACGAGCACGUGCACGCGCCAUCGAGAACGAGGUUGAUUCUCUCCUCUUCGAGUCUCGUUCGAAUUCACACGUGUGACGCCCGGAUAAUUAAACUACAGUAAUCCUUUGUUAGUGAUGCCUCGUCACCUCGGUUACUGUUGUUAAUAUCACGUUAGUUCAAAAACCGGUUCAGAAUUCAACUUCAAAAUAAAGUCAAACGUUGAAGUUUUCAAAUAUUAAAACUAAAUUGUUCGAAUUGUGUCGAAUAAAUCAAAAGUAAUAUUGGUGAAGGAACCACACUUCCAUAAUGUGUUUAGUUGCACAAUAACAAAUAAAACAGCGGCAAAACUAUUAUUUAAACGCUCUUAGAAUAAUAAACAAAUACAUACUAGUUUAUUUAAUGUGCCAAAAUAUUUGUGGCAGUGGCAUAAUUGGUGACAUCAAUUUAGGUGCCACUUUGGUGUUUUGUUAAGACUAAAAUAAAAGGAAACUAAAAGAAAAGCAGAAAAGAAUAAAAUAUGUAGAAAGAAAAUAAACAAAAGGGAAACAUUAAAAAAAGAAGAAGACAAAGAUAAAAGAAUUCCCUCAGCCCAACUGUUCAACCGACCAGCCUCCCCUGUUCAACCGACCCGCCUUCCCCCUCGUUCGUCCCCGCUGGACCUCAUCGUCGGCGUCGCCACCGAGAGGAUAAGGCCACCUCCCCUGACCCCUCGGUCCCCUCGCCUCCUCCUGCUCCACUCUCGCUCCCCCUCAGAUCCACCUCACCCGCAGCCAAACCACGUCGCCAUGGCCGGCCUCAUCCUCGUGGCCACUGCCCUCCCCGCCGCCUGAGACUGCGUCGGGAGCACCGCCUCCAUCGUCUUUGUCGACUACGUGGACGCAUUCGAGCUCGGGACCCCUGCCUCGCGUGGAUCGAGCCAUUCCCUUCGCUGCAACGCGGUCGCCCUCGCCUCCACCCACGGCCGCCGCGGCCAUCACCGUCGAUCUCCACCACCGGCGCCUCCCGGCCACGCCGUAGCUCGUCCACGGCCUCCUCGGGGUGAUCCUCCGCCCGUCCCCCCUUUCUUCCCCUCUCUCCGACAUCGUUUGCUGCCGCCCAAGCUCCAGCCGUUGGCCGUGAUGCGUGCCCGCGUCUUCGCGCUCGCGACCCCCUGACCGCGCCCAGCCCCGCGUCCGCCGUGUCGCAGCCCUGUCCCGGCGCGCCUGCACCUUGCUGGCCCGUUUGCUGGCUCGCCCCGCCUCCGCCCGCCGUUGCCGCGUCCUGCCGCUGGUUGUCCCAGCCGCCCUGUGCGCCACCCCGCGCACCGCGUCCCUGGCCUCGCCCAGUCCCGUGUCCGCUGCGUCCCGGCGCGCAGGCUCGUCCGCCGGCUCGCCCGGCCGCGCGCCCCGCGACGCAGCCGCCCGUGGCUCUGCCACUGUUCUGCUGGUCCCUGUACUGCUGUUGCUUUUGCGUGUUGUCGUCGCCUCGCGUCCGCUCGCUGCUGCUCUAUUUCUGCUGCGCGCAACUGCUCCUGAUGUGUGCCGCUGAACUGCUACUACUCGUGGUGCUUGCUGCUGCUCUUAUCCUGCUAACUGCCGCUGCUAGCGUUGCCUUGCUGCUGCUACUCCCGCUUGCAAUUGCCGGCUGCUACUGGUGGUGGCUAUGGCCGUGUGUGCGUAGGUGUUCUGUAUGGCCGGCUUAAUUAGUUUAGGCUAAUUUAGAUACUUAGGUAAUCUUUGUUAGGUUAGUUGCUAGCCUAUGGCAGGUGGAGCCCACUUUUUAGUUAAGUUAGAAUUUAUUUAUUUUGUUUAGGUAUAGUCUAUGCCAUGUGGGCCAUGCUUUCCCUUUUGACCAGUCAAAUUGACUUGGUCAAUUCGGAUUAAAUAAAUGCAGAUACAAAAUAUUGAUUAAAACUUUGAUAAAUAACAUAAAAUAAACCGUUUAUCAAAUGAAAAUGUUUUGUACAUGAAAGUUGCUCAGAACGACGAGACGAAUCCGGAUACGCAGCCCGUUCGUCCGUCACACACCUCUAGCAUGCCGAACACGCAACUUUCCCCCUCCGGUACCUUUGCCCGAGAACGCGGAACCCCGGGGAUACUUUCCCGGAUGUUUCCCCCCUUCACCGGUAUCACCUAUUACCCCGUUAGGGCACACCGAACACCGCGUAUUGUCUUGUUACGCUUUGUGAUGCUUUGAUUGCUCUGUUAUUUAUUGUGUUCCCUCUCCGUUACUUCUUUCUGAUAGACCCCGAGACUGCCGGCAACCCCCAGUUCGACUACGGUGUUGGUGACUCGUCCUUCUUGCCAGAGCAACCAGGCAAGCCCCCCCCCCUUGAUCACCAGAUAUCGCCUAUUCUCCUCUAUACUGCUUGCAUUAGAGUAGUGUAGCAUGUUACUGCUUUUCGCUAAUCCUAUUCUGAUGCAUAGCCUGACAUUGUUGCUACAUCUGUUGAUACCUUACCUGCAAUCCUAAAUACUUAGUAUAGGAUGCUAGUUUUGUUGGGGAACAUAGUAAUUUCAAAAAUUUCCUACGUACACGCAAGAUCAUGGUGAUGACAUAGCAACGAGAGGGGAGAGUGUUGUCCACGUACCCUCGUAGACCGUAAGCGGAAGCGUUAUGACAACGCGGUUGAUGUAGUCGUACGUCUUCACGAUCCGACCGAUCCAAGUACCGAACGUACGGCACCUCCGAGUUCAGCACACGUUCAGCUCGAUGACGAUCCCCGGGCUCUGAUCCAGCAAAGCUUCGGGGAUGAGUUCCGUCAGCACGACGGCGUGGUGACGAUGAUGAUGUUCUAACGGCGCAGGGCUUCGCCUAAACUCCGCGACGAUAUGACCGAGGUGGAAUAUGGUGGAGGGGGGCACCGCACACGGCUAAGGAACGAUCUGUAGAUCAAUUUGUGUUGUUGUGCCUAGAGGUGCCCCCCUGCCCCCGUAUAUAAAGGAGCCAGGGGGAGGGGGUCGGCCGGCCAAGAGGGGCGCGCCAGGAGGAGUCCUCCUCCCACCGGGAGUAGGACUCCCCCCCCUUCCUUGUUGGAGUAGGAGAGAAGGAAAGAGGGGGAGAGGGGAAAGGAAAAGGGGGCUGCACCCCUUGUCCAAUUCGGACCAGAAGGGGGCUGCGCACCUCCUUCCUUUCAGCCUCUCUCCUCUAUUCCCGUAUGGCCCAAUAAGGCUCAUAUACUCCCCGGCGAAUUCCCGUAACUCUCCGGUACUCCGAAAAAUACCUGAAUCACUCGGAACCUUUCCGAACUCCGAAUAUAGUCGUCCAAUAUAUCGAUCUUUACGUCUCGACCAUUUCGAGACUCUUCGUCAUGUCCCCGAUCUCAUCCGGGACUCCGAACUUCUUCAGUACAUCAAAACUCAUAAACUCACAAUAUAACCGUCAUCGAAACCUUAAGCGUGCGGACCCUACGGGUUCGAGAAUUAUGUAGACAUGACCUAGAACUAUUCUUGCUCAAUAACCAAUAGCGGAACCUGGAUGCCCAUAUUGGCUCCUACAUAUUCUACGAAGAUCUUUAUCGGUCAAACCGCAUAACAACAUACUUUGUUCCCUUUGUCAUCGGUAUGUUACUUGCCCGAGAUUCGAUCGUCGGUAUCUAAUACCUAGUUCAAUCUCAUUACCGGCAAGUCUCUUUACUCGUUACGUAAUGCAUCAUCCCACAACUAACUCAUUAGUUGCAAUGCUUGCAAGGCUUAAGCGAUGUGUAUUACCGAGAGGGCCUAGAGAUACCUCUCAGACAAUCGGAGUGACAAAACCUAAUCUCGAAAUACGCCAACCCAACAUGUACCUUCGGAGACACCUGUAGAGCACCUUUAUAAUCACCUAGUUACGUUGUGAUGUUUGGUAGCACACAAAGUGUUCCUCCGGUAAACGGGAGUUGCAUAAUCUCAUAGUUGUAGGAACUUUGUAUAAGUCAUGAAGAAAGCAAUAGCAACAUACUAAACGAUCAAGUGUUAGGCUAACAGAAUGGGUCAAGUCAAUCACAUCAUUCUCCUAAUGAUGUGAUCCCGUUAAUCAAAUGACAACCCAUGUCUAUGGUUAGGAAACAUAACCAUCUUUGAUUAAUGAGCUAGUCAAGUAGAGGCAUACUAGUGACAUUAUGUUUGUCUAUGUAUUCACACAUGUAUCAUGUUUCCGGUUAAUACAAUUCUAGCAUGAAUAAUAAACAUUUAUCAUGAUAUAAGGAAAUAAAUAAUAACUUUAUUAUUGCCUCUAGGGCAUAUUUUCUUCAGUCUCCCACUUGCACUAGAGUCAAUAAUUUAGUUCACAUCGCCAUGUGAUUUAACACCAAUAAUUCACAUCACCAUGUGAUUAGCACCCAUAGUUCACAUCGUCAUGUGACCAACACCCAAAGGGUUUACUAGAGUCAAUAAUCUAGUUCACAUUGCUAUGUGAUUAACACCAAAAGAGUACUAAGGUAUGAUCAUGUUUUAUUGUGAGAGAACUUUAGUCAACGGAUCUGUCACAUUCAGAGCCAUAUGUAUUUUGCAAAUAUUCUAUGUCUACAAUGCUAUGCACGGAGCUACUCUAGCUAAUUGCUCCCACUUUCAAUAUGUAUCCAGAUUGAGACUUAGAGUCAUCUGGAUCAGUGUAAAAGUUUGCACCGAUGUAACUUUUACAACGAACUCUUUUAUCACCUCCAUAAUCGAGAAACAUCUCCUUAGUCCUCACUAAGGAUAUUCUUGACCGUUGUCUAGUGAUCUACUCUUAGAUCAAAAUUGUAUUCCUUUGCCAAACAGAGCAAGGUAUACAAUAGGUCUAGUACACAACAUAGCAUACUUUAUAGAACCUAUGACUGAGGCAUAGGGAAUGACUGUUCAUUCUUUUCUAUUUUCUACCAUGGUCGGGUUUUGAGUCUUACUCAACUUCACACCUUGCAACACAGGCAAGAACUCUUUCUUUGACUGUUCCAUUUUGAACUACUUCAAAAUCUUGUCAAGGUAUGUACUCAUUGAAAAAUCUUAUCAAGCGUCUUGAUCUAUUUCUAUAGAUCUUGAUGAUCAAUGUGUAAGCAGCUUCACCAAGGUCUUUCUUUGAAAAACUCUUUUCAAACACUCCUUUAUGCUUUGCAGAAUAAUUAUACAUUAUUUCCGAUCAACAAUAUGUCAUUCACAUAUACUUAUCAGAAAUGCUGUAGUGCUUCCACUCACUUUAUUGUAAAUACAGGCUUCUUCAAAAGUCUAUAUAAAAUCAUAUGCUUUGAUCAACUCAUCAAAGCGUAUAUUCCAACUCCGAGAUGCUUGCACCAGUCCAUAGAUGGAUCGCUGGAGCUUGCACACUUUGUUAGCAUCUUUAGGAUUGACAAAAAACUUUUUGGUUGCAUCAUAUACAACUCUUCUUUAAUAAAUCCAUUAAGGAAUGCAGUUUUGACAUCCAUUUGCCAGAUUUCAUAAAAUGUGGCAAUUGCUAACAUGAUUCAGACAGACUUAAGCUUCGAUACGAGUGAGAAAAUCUCAUUGUAUUCAACACCUUGAACUUGUUGAAAACCUUUCGCAACAAGUCGAGCUUAGUAGAUAGUAACACUACUAUCAGUGUCCGUCUUCCUCUUGAAGAUCCAUUUAUUUAACAUGGCUUGUUGAUCAUCGAGCAAGUCAAUCAAAGUCCAUACUUUGUUCUCAUACAUGGAUCAUAUCUCAGAUUUUAUGGCCUCAAGCCAUUUCGUGGAAUCUGGGCUCAUCAUCGCUUCCUCAUAGUUCGUAGGUUCAUCAUGGUCUAGUAACAUGACUUCCAGAACAGGAUUACCGUACCACUCUGGUGCGGAUCUUACUCUGGAAGACCUACGAGGUUCUGUAGUAACUUAAUCUGAAGUUUCAUGAUCAUCAUCAUUAACUUCCUCACUAAUUGGUGUAGUAGUCACAGGAACAGAUUUCUGUGAUGAACUACUUUCAAAUAAGGGAGCAGGUACAGUUACCUCAUCAAGUUCUACUUUGCUCCCACUCACUUCUUUCGAGAGAAACUCCUUCUCUAGAAAUGAUCCAUUCUUAGCAACGAAUGUUUUGCCUUUGGAUUUGUGAUAGAAGGAGUACCCAAUAGUUUCCUUUGGGUAUUCUAUGAAGACGCACUUCUCCGAUUUGGGUUCGAGCUUAUCAGGUUGAAACUUUUUCAUAUAAGCAUCGCAACUCCAAACUUUAAGAAACGACAACUUUGGUUUCUUGCCAAACCACAGUUCAUAAGGCGUCGUCUCAACGGAUUUUGAUGGUGCCCAAUUUAAAGUGAAUGCAGCUGUCUCUAAUGCAUAACCCCAAAACGAUAGCGGUAAAUCGGUAAGAGACAUCAUAGAUCGCACCAUAUCCAAUAAAGUGCGGUUUCGACGUUCGGACACACCAUAACGUUGUGGCGUUCCUGGUGGCGUGAGCUGUGAAACUAUUCCACAUUGUUUUAAUUGAAGACCAAACUCGUAACUCAAAUAUUUGUCUCCGCGAUCAGAUCGCAGAAACUUUAUUUUCUUGUUACGAUGAUUUUUCCACUUCACUCUGAAAUUCUUUGAACCUUUCAACUAUUUCAGACUUAUGUUUCAUCAAGUAGAUAUACCCAUAUCUGCUUAAAUCAUCUGUGAAGGUCAGAAAAUAACGAUACUCACCACGAGCCUUAAUACUCAUUGGUCUGCAUACAUCAGUAUGUAUUAUUUCCAACAAGUUUGUUGCUCGUUCCAUUGUUCCGAAGAACGGAGUUUUAGUCAUCUUGCCCAAAAGGCACGGUUCGCAAGCAUCAAAUGAUUCAUAACCAAGUGAUUCCAAAAAUCCAUCUUUAUGGAGUUUCUUCAUGCGCUUUACACCGAUAUGACCCAAACGGCAGUGCCACAAAUAAGUUGCACUAUCAUUAUUAACUUUGCAUCUUUUUGCAUCAAUAUUAUGAAUAUGUGUAUCACUACGAUCGAGAUCCAAUAAACUAUUUUCAUUGGGUGUAUGACCAUUGAAGGUUUUAUUCAUGUAAACAGAACAACAAUUAUUCUCUAACUUUAAAUGAAUAACCGUAUUGCAAUAAACAUGAUCAAAUCAUAUUCAUGCUCAAUGCAAACACCAAAUAACAUUUAUUUAGGUUCAACACUAAUCCCAAAAGUAUAGGGAGUGUGCGAUGAUGAUCAUAUCAAUCUUGAAACUACUUUCAACACUCAUCGUCACUUCACCCUUAACUAGUUUCUGUUUAUUCUGCAACUCCCGUUUCGAGUUACUACUCUUAGCAACUGAACCAGUACCAAGUACCGAGGGGUUGCUAUAAACACUAGUAAAGUACACAUCAAUAGCAUGUAUAUCAAAUAUACCUAUGUUCACUUUGCCAUCCUUCUUAUCCGCCAAAUACUUGGGGUAGUUCCACUUCCAGUGACCAGUACCUUUGCAGUAGAAUCACUUAGUCUUAGGCUUAGGUCCAGACUUGGGCUUCUUCACUUGAGCAGCAACUCGCUUGCCGUUCUUCUUGAAGUUCCCCUUCUUCCCUUUGACCUUUUCUUGAAACUAGUGGUCUUGUCUACCAUCAACACUUGAUGUUUUUCUUGAUUUCUACCUUCGUUGAUUUUAGCAUCACGAAGAGCUUGGGAAUCAUUUCCGUUAUCCCUUGCAUAUUAUAGUUCAUCACGAAGUUCUACUAACUUGGUGAUGAUGACUAGAGAAUUCUGUCAAUCACUAUUUUAUCUGGAAGAUUAACUCUCACUUGAUUCAAGCGAUUGUAGUACCCAGACAAUCUGAGCACAUGCUCACUAGUUGAGCGAUUCUCCUCCAUCUUUUAGCUAUAGAACUUGUUGAAGAUUUUAUAUCUCUCAACUCGGGUAUUUACUUGAAAUAUUAACUUCAACUCCUGAAACAUCUCAUAUGGUCCAUGACGUUCAAAACGUCUUUGAAGUCCCGAUUCUAAGCCAUUAAGCAUGGUGCACUAAACUAUCAAGUAGUCAUCAUAUUGAGCUAGCCAAACGUUCAUAACGUCUGCAUCUGCUCCUGCAAUAGGUUUGUCACCUAGCGGUGCAUCAAGGACAUAAUUCUUCUGCGCAGCAAUGAGGAUAAACCUCAGAUCACGGAUCCAAUCCUCAUCAUUGCUACUAACAUUUUUCAACACAAUUUUCUCUAGGAACAUAUCAAAAUAAACAUAUGAAAGCAACAACGCAAGCUAUUGAUCUACAACAUAAUUUGCAAAAUACUACCAGGACUAAGUUCAUGAUAAAUUUAAGUUCAAUUAAUCAUAUUACUUACGAACUCCCACUUAAAAAGACAUCCCUCUAAUCCUCUAAGUGAUCACGUGAUCCAAAUCAACUAAACCAUAACCGAUCAUCACGUGAAAUGGAGUAGCUUUCAAUGGUGAACAUCAUUAUGUUGAUCAUAUCUACUAUAUGAUUCACGCUCGACCUUUCGGUCUCCGUAUUCCGAGGCCAUAUCUGCAUAUGCUAGGCUCGUCAAGUUUAACCUGAGUAUUCCGCGUGUGCAAAACUGUCUUGCACCCGUUGUAGAUGGACGUAGAGCUUAUCACACCCGAUCAUCACGUGGUGUCUGUGCACGACGAACUUUGGCAACGGUGCAUACUCAGGGAGAACACUUCUUGAUAAUUUUAGUGAGAGAUCAUCUUAAAAUGCUACCGUCAAUCAAAGUAAGAUAAGAUGCAUAAAGGAUAAACAUCACAUGCGAUCAAUAUAAGUGAUAUGAUAUGGCCAUCAUCAUCUUGUGCUUGUGAUCUCCAUCUCCGAAGCACCGUCGUGAUCACCAUCGUCACCGGCGCGACACCUUGAUCUCCAUCGUAGCAUCGUUGUCGUUACGCCAUCUAUUGCUUCUACGACUAUCGCUACCGCUUAGUGAUAAAGUAAAGCAAUUACAGGGCGUUUGCAUUUCAUACAAUAAAGCGACAACCAUAUGGCUCCUGCCAGUUGCCGAUAACUUCGGUUACAAAACAUGAUCAUCUCAUACAAUAAAAUAUAGCAUCACGUCUUGACCAUAUCACAUCACAACAUGCCCUGCAAAAACAAGUUAGACGUCCUCUACUUUGUUGUUGCAAAUUUUACGUGGCUGCUACGGGCUUAGCAAGAACCGUUCUUACCUACGCAUCAAAAACCACAACGAUAGUUUGUCAAGUUGGUGCUGUUUUAACCUUCGCAAGGACCGGGCGUAGCCACACUCAGCUAAAGUGAGAGAGAUAGACACCCGCCAGCCACCUUUAAGCACGAGUGCUCGUAACGGUGAAACCAGUCUCGCGUAAGCGUACGCGUAAUGUUGGUCCGGGCCGCUUCAUCUCACAAUACCGCCGAACCAAAGUAUGACAUGCUGGUAAGCAGUAUGACUUGUAUCGCCCACAACUCACUUGUGUUCUACUCGUGCAUAUAACAUCAACGCAUAAAACCUAGCUCGGAUGCCACUGCUGGGGAACGUAGUAAUUUCAAAAAUUUCCUACGUACACGCGAGAUCAUGGUGAUGGCAUAGCAACGAGAGGGGAGAGUGUUGUCCACGUACCCUCGUAGACCGUAAGCGGAAGCGUUAUGACAACGCGGUUGAUGUAGUCGUACAUCUUCACGAUCCGACCGAUCCAAGUACCGAACGUACGACACCUCCGAGUUCAGCACAUAUUCAGCUCGAUGACGAUCCCCGGGCUCUGAUCCAGCAAAGCUUCAGGGAUGAGUUCCGUCAGCACGACGGCGUGGUGAUGAUGAUGAUGUUCUACCGGCGCAGGGAUUCACCUAAACUCUGCGACGAUAUGACUGAGGUGGAAUAUGGUGGAGGGGGGCACCGCACACGGCUAAGGAACGAUCCGUAGAUCAACUUGUGUUGUUGUGCCUAGAGGUGCCCCCCCGCCCCCGUAUAUAAAGGAGCCAGGGGGAGGGGGUCGGCCGGCCAGGAGGGGCGCGCCAGGAGGAGUCCUCCUCCCACCGGGAGUAGGACUCCCCUCCCUUCCUUGUUGGAGUAGGAGAGAAGGAAAGAGGGGGAGAGGGGGAAGGAAAAGGGGGCUGAACCCCUUGUCCAAUUCGGACAAGAAGGGGGCUGCGCACCUCCUUCCUUUCAGCCUCUCUCCUCUAUUCCCGUAUGGCCCAAUAAGGCCCAUAUACUCCCCGGUGAAUUCCCGUAACUCUCCGGUACUCCGAAAAAUACCCGAAUCACUUGGAACCUUUCCGAACUCCGAAUAUAGUCGUCCAAUAUAUCGAUCUUUACGUCUCGAUCAUUUCGAGACUCCUCGUCAUGUCCCCGAUCUCAUCCGGGACUCCGAACUUCUUCGGUACAUCAAAACUCAUAAACUCAUAAUAUAACUGUCAUCGAAACCUUAAGCGUGCGGACCCUACGAGUUCGAGAACUAUAUAGACAUGACCUAGAACUAUUCUUGGUCAAUAACCAAUAGCGGAACCUGGAUGCCCAUAUUGGCUCCUACAUAUUCUACGAAGAUCUUUAUCGGUCAAACCGCAUAACAACAUACUUUGUUCCCUUUGUCAUCGGUAUGUUACUUGCCCGAGAUUCGAUCGUCGGUAUCUAAUACCUAGUUCAAUCUCGUUACCGGCAAGUCUCUUUACUCGUUACGUAAUGCAUCAUCCCACAACUAACUCAUUAGUUGCAAUGCUUGCAAGGCUUAAGUGAUGUGUAUUACCGAGAGGGCCCAGAGAUACCUCUCCGACAAUCGGAGUGACAAAACCUAAUCUCGAAAUACGCCAACCCAACAUGUACCUUCGGAGACACCUAUAGAGCACCUUUAUAAUCACCCAGUUAUGUUGUGACGUUUGGUAGCACACAAAGUGUUCCUCCGGUAAACGGGAGUUGCAUAAUCUCAUAGUUGUAGGAACUUUUUAUAAGUCAUGAAGAAAGCAAUAGCAACAUACUAGACGAUCAAGUGCUAGGCUAACGGAAUGGGUCAAGUCAAUCACAUCAUUCUCCUAAUGAUGUGAUCCCGUUAAUCAAAUGACAACCCAUGUCUAUGGUUAGGAAACAUAACCAUCUUUGAUUAAUGAGCUAGUCAGUAGAGGCAUACUAGUGACAUUAUGUUUGUCUAUGUAUUCACACAUGUAUCAUGUUUCCGGUUAAUACAAUUCUAGCAUGAAUAAUAAACAUUUAUCAUGAUAUAAGGAAAUAAAUAAUAACUUUAUUAUUGCCUCUAGGGCAUAUUUCCUUCAAGUUUAUCAUCAUUGGCCCUGCAUUCUUGUCAGUCUGCCUUGCUAUACUAUUGGGCCGUGAUCACUCGGGAGGUGAUCAUGGGUAUAUACUAUACAUACAUACAUACUAUACAGAUGGUGACUAAAGUCGGGUCAGCUUGAUGAGUACCCGCAAGUGAUUCUGAUGAGGGGGGCUGAAAGGACAGGUGGCUCCAUCCCGGUAGAGGUGGGCCUGGGUUCCCGACACCCCCCGACUGUUACUUUGUGGCGGAGCGACAGGGCAGGUUGAGACCACCUAGGAGACAGGUGGGCCUGGCCCUGUUCGGUGUUCGCGGAUACUUAACACGCUUAACGAGAUCUUGGUAUUUGAUCUGAGUCUGGCUACUGGCCUAUACGCACUAACCAACUACGCGGGAACAGUUAUGGGCACUCGGCGUCGUGGUAUCAGCCGAAGCCUUCGUGACGUCAGCGACUGAGCGGCGCGCGCCGGGUUGGACUGCGUUAACGCAACUUCCUUUGUAAUGGAGGUUGCUAGGUCUGCUCAUCGGCCGCGUACGCAACAUGCAGGCGUGCUAAGGGCGAUGGGCCCAGACCCCUAUGCGCUUAGGUUUAGACCGACAUGCUGACCUCUUUGUUGUGCCUAGGUGGGGCUGCGACGUGUUGAUCUUCCGAGGCCGGGCAUGACCCAGGAAAGUGUGUCCGGCCAAAUGGGAUCGAGCGUGUUGGGUUAUGUGGUGCACCCCUGCAGGGAAGUUAAUCUAUUCGAAUAGCCGUGAUCUUCGGUAACAGGACGACUUGGAGUUGUACCUUGACCUUAUGACAACUAGAACCAGAUACUUAAUAAAACACACCCUUCCAAGUGCCAGAUACAACCCGGUGAUCGCUCUCUAACAGGGCGACAAGGAGAGGAUCGCCGGGUAGGAUUAUGCUAUGCGAUGCUACUGGAGAUGCUACUUGGAGAUGCUACUUGGAGGACUUCAAUCUACUCUCUUCUACAUGCUGCAAGACAGAGGCUGCCAGAAGCGUAGUCUUCGAUAGGACUAGCUAUCCCCCUCUUAUUCUGGCAUUCUACAGUUCAGUCCACUGAUAUGGCCUCCUUACACAUAUACCCAUGCAUAUGUAGUGUAGUUCCUUGCUUGCGAGUACUUUGGAUGAGUACUCACGGUUGCUUUCUCCCCCCUUUUCCCCUCGCAACCAGAUGCUGGAGUCCAGGAGCCAGACGCCACCUUCGACGACGAUUCCUACUACCUGGAGGUGCCUACUACUAUGUGCAGCCCGCUAACGACGACCAGGAGUAGUUUAGGAGGAUCCCAGACAGGAGGCCUGCGCCUCUUUCGAUCUGUAUCCCAAUUUGUGCUAGCCAUCUUAUGGCAACUUGUUUAACUUAUGUCUGUACUUAGAUAUUGUUGCUUCCGCUGACUCGUCUAUGAUCGAGCACUUGUAUUCGAGCCCUCGAGGCCCCUGGCUUGUAUUAUGAUGCUUGUAUGACUUAUUUAUGUUUUAGAGUUGUGUUGUGAUAUCUUCCCGUGAGUCCCUGAUCUUGAUCGUACACGUUUGCAUGCAUGAUUAGUGUACGAUUGAAUUGGGGGCGUCACAACAUGAGAAUUGGGUUCUACCUCACAAGGACAUGUUAUGCAUUUUAGGAUACCAAGGAGACGAUCAAGAGAAGGAGAAGACGGAGACUCAAGUGACCUCGAAGCAAGGAAAGGAAGAGAAGGAACAAGAGAACGAGGACGAAGAGGAAGGAGAAGGGGCAAACCCCCUGGACGCCCCGGGUGCCCGGCACCUGCAGCCCCUGGGUGCCCGGGCACCUGGCCACCUACAGCCGCGCCCCCGGGUGCCCGGGCCUUGGCUGGCCGGGUGCCCGGCCCCCUCUGCCCCAGCCGCUGGGCUCGGCCCCGGGUGCCCGGCCUUGAGGCCCCGGGUGCCCAGCCGCUCCACCCAGCCAUCUCCAGCGACUCCCUCGGGUGCCCGGGACUUGGGCCCUCGGGUGCCCGGCCGCCCCGCCCGGUCCUCUCCAGCACCACCCCCGGGUGCCCGAGACUUGGGCCCCCGGGUGCCCGGCCACAUGCCAGCCGGCCCCUGAGCCGUCCGGGUGCCCGACCCAAGUUGCCCGGGUGCCGGGCCCCCUUCGCCUAGCCGCACGUUGAUGACCUUUUUGGCCUUGCACCCCUCUUUUCUUGCAUUGUGUCGCCCCUAGACUAUAUAAGGACACCUCCUAGGUCAUUUGGAAGGGUAGCAAAGAUUAGGCUAAGCAUUGUGAGCCUUUGCUCCUUGUAUCCCCUCCUCUUAGGAGCUCAAGCCCCCACCUAGGGAAGAAUCCAUUGGAUUAUCAAGGCCUCCUCUUGGAGAAGAUCAUCAAGACCUCACAUAGUGGGAAGAAUUUACCAAGUGUUACUCUCCUUGUAUUAAUCUUGUAAUCUUGUGGAUCUCAUGUGUGCUACUCUAGUGGAUGUGAUACUUGGGUUUGUUUGAGAGAUUUGUCCUUGGUGUUCUUGAGUUUUUCCUCCUUUUCCCCCCUCCAAGUGUGAAAAGAUCCUUCCUAGGGUUUGACCCUACAACAGUAUCUUACCUCACGAAUGAUAGGUGUUGCACUUGCACUAACCUCAUUUGUUUUUCCGAGUGUUUGUCAUGUUCUUUUGUUUUGAAGGUUUCACAAGGCAUUACCUUCAUGAGACAUAUUGGUUAUGUGAAGGCAUACACGAUGUGUGACACCAACAUUUGCGACAUACUCAUAAAGGUGAACUCCUUCUCUUUGAGCCAUCCUCAAAUACGCAUAUUGGAUGGGUCAUUCUUUCAUUGUUGUUUCCUUCUUGUUGUCUACAUGAUACAUCUCGCGAACGGAGGAGCGACAUUGGAGAUUGGCUCUAUGGACCUUCACAUUGAGGAGCGCUCACACUUCUUGGAUGCACCUUCGGAACUCCAGUCAUGCCACGACAUCGAGCAUUGGUACACCAACACCUCCACAUUUGUUGAUUGUGCUCAUACAUGUCAUGCUCGAUGGACAUAUCAUACUCACCACAAGUUUGCAUCCCAUGCAUGGAUUGACUCACAUUAUGAUUGCCUUGUUGCAUCUUGUAUUCCCAUGUCAUCCAUGAUAUAUGAGCUUGUGCAUUUCCUUAGCAAAUUUGUUGUGAUCUUCCUUGAUGGCAUAUUCAUACAUCAUGAUCAUAUUGUCCACCAUCAAUUGCAUGAUAGCUUACACAUAUUGAGCAUCCAUUGCCAUAUUCAUGCUAUUGAUGAACCGUCCCUCUAUGACAUCAUUUUGCACAAUGGUAGAAUUUGCUGCUUUGUGCACCAUGCUAAUUACCACAUGAAUGCUUUGGAUACCAUUCUAGAUCAUCUUGAUAAGCAUCUUGUGCCUUGCACUAUCUUGCCGCACGGACUCAUUCUUACAUGAUGGACAUUUUGUGUGCGCUAACCAUUGUAUUUCCGAGUGUCGCUUGUUUUUGCUCAUUUUGCAUGUACCACAUACCAGAGACGCCUUGGAGUACUUGGAUUGCGUCAUGCCUUCAACUCCGUCUACAAGUCCGUCCACGACAACCGUUUCCAUGGUGAUGAGGAUCACGAUCCGAGGUCGGAUCUUUCCCAAGGUGGGGGAGAUGAUGCGGAGCAUCCCACGUUCAUCCCCAUGUACACUCCGACUACUCUCCAAGCCCCAAGAGGACAUAUGAUGAGACCUCUAACAUACGCCAUUGGACCUAAGGUGAAUUCACUCCUUUUCGAAUCUUCCCUUUCCGCAUGUAAGACAUGGCUGCUACUUCAAGCGUGGACCUUGUGCAUACUCAGGUACACCCGAGGAGACCAUGGAGAACCCAAGGACCAAGGCCAAGCAUGUGCGGAAGCAAAGGAAGGAGAAGGAAGAAGAGCCAGCUGCUAUAGGCCCCGGACAUCCGGCCCCAGCCCGGACAUCCGGACCAGCCCGGACAUCCGGCCCGACCCCCGGAAAUCCGGCGCCCAUCACAGAACGCACCCGAAGCUGAACCCCGUCUGCCCGGACAUCCAACCAGAGGCCCGGACAUCCGUCUCUUCCCGAGCCGCCGGACAUCCGGCCCCCAGCCCAGACAUCCGGACCCUGCCUAUCCAGAGAGCUCCGAGACCGGCCACUCCAGCCCGGACAUCCGGCACCCCGCGAAGGCCCGGACAUCCGGCCCGACGCUCGGGCAUCCGACCUCCCCUGCAUGCAUGCAGCGCGUCUGGGCCGAGGCCCAUGUACCCCUUCGCCCCUUAGACUAUAUAUACUCCCCUCCACCUACGUUUUAGGGUUAGCAAAGGAUUAGCUCAUUUGAUAUAGAGCUUUCCUCAUCCAUACGGAUCUCCUCCUCGUGAGAGACCGCAGCCUCUUCGGAGAAGAUCCACCAUGGAUUCAAGACCCCUUUACGGGAAGAUCCCUCAUGGAUUCAAGACCUCCUCUUGGAGAUGAACUACCGCCACUUGUAUCGUCCUUUGUUGGAUUUGGACCGUGUACCUCUUUGUCUUUCUUGGAUCUAGCACAUGUGUGAUCAUAUUCUUGUUGGUUGAGUGUUUUCCUCUUGUGUUUCCCCGUGAUUUCCCUCGUUCCACUUUUGGCAUUCUUCGUGUUCCUCAUAGGGAUCCUCUCCAAACGUGAAAGAUCGGCCCCUAGGGUUCCACCCUACAUCAGAGGUCUUCGCUCAAGUCAAGACAUACCAAGUACCCAUCACAAACUCAUCUCCCUCGCACUUACAUUAUUUGCCAUUUGCCUCUCAUUUUCCUCUCCCCACUUCACCCUUGCCGUUUUAUUCGCCCUCUCUUUCCCAAUCUCCUCUCUCUUUCGCUUACCUUUUUGUUUGCUUGUGUGUUGGAUCACUUGUCGCGAUGGCGCAAGAUAAUACCAAAUUGUGUGAUUUUUCCAAUACCAAUAAUAAUGAUUUCCUUAGUACUCCGAUUGCUCCUCUUAAUGAUGUUGAGUCUUGUGAAAUCAAUGCUGCUUUGCUGAAUCUUGUUAUGAAAGAUCAAGUCUCCGGCCUUCCUAGUGAAUAUGCCGCUACCCAUCUAAACAACUUUGUUGAUUUGUGUGAGAUGCAAAAGAAGAAAGACAAGAAUAAUGAUACUUUUAAAUUGAAGUUAUUUCCGUUUUCACUUAGAGAUUGUGCUAAAGUUUGGUUUUCGUCUUUGCCUAAGAAUAAUAUUGAUUCAUGGAAUAAGUGCAAAGAUGCUUUUAUCUCUAAGUAUUUUCCUCCCACUAAGAUCAUCUCUCUUAGGAACGAUAUUAUGAAUUUUAAACAACUUGAUCAUGAGCAUGUUACCCAAUCUUGGGAAAGAAUGAAAUUGAUGAUUCACAAUUGCCCUACUCAUGGUUUGAAUUUAUGGAUGAUCAUACAAAAAAUUUAUGCCGGAUUGAAUUUUGCUUCUAGAAAUCUUUUAGAUUCGGCCGCGGGAGGCACGUUUAUGGAAAUCACCUUAGGUGAAGCUACUAAACUCCUUGAUAAUAUUAUGGCUAAUUAUUUUCAAUGGCACACCAAAAGAUCUACUAGUAAAAAAGUGCAUGAAGAAAUUAAUGUUUUGAGUGGAAAGAUGGAUGAACUUAUGAAGUUGUUUGCUACUAAGAGUGCUUCUAUUGAUCCCAAUGAUAUGCCUUUGUCUACUUUGAUUGAGAAUAAUAAUGAAUCUAUGGAUGUGAAUUUUGUUGGUAGGAAUAAUUUUGGUAAUAAUGCUUAUAGAGGAAACUUUAAUCCUAGGCCGUUCCCUAGUAAUUCCUCUAAUAAUUAUGGAAAUUCCUACAAUAAUUCUUAUGGUAAUUAUAAUAAGAUGCCCUCUGAUUUUGAGAAUAGUGUGAAAGAAUUUAUGAUCUCUCAAAAGAAUUUUAAUUCCUUGCUUGAAGAAAAAUUACUUAAAGUUGAUGAUUUGGCUAGGAACGUUGAUAGACUUUCUCUUGAUGUUGAUUCUUUGAAACUUAGAUCUACUCCUCCUAAGCAUGAUAUCAAUGAGUCUCUCAAAGCUAUGAGAAUUUCCAUUGAUGAGUGCAAGGAAAGAACCACUAGAUUGCGUGCAAAGAAAGAUUGCUUUGUAAAGGCGUGUUCUUCUAGUUUCCAUGAAAAUAAUGAUGAAGAUCUAAAAGUUAUUGAUGGGUCCCCUAUUAAAUCUUUCUGUUGCAAUAUGAAUCUUAAUAAUGAUGGGACUAGAGAUGAGUCAACUUUAGUUAAAAGGCGUCCCAAUGAUUCGGAGUUCUUAGAUCUAGAUGCUAAAUUUGGUAAAAGUGGGAUUGGAGAGGUCAAGACUUUAAAUAGCAUUGAACCCACUAUUUGGGAUUUCAAGGAAUUUAAUUAUGAUAAUUGUUCUUUAGAAGGUUGUAUUUCCUUGUUGCAAUCCAUUUUGAAUUCUCCUCAUGCUUAUAGUCAAAAUAAAGCUUUUAUCAAACAUAUUAUUGAUGCCUUGAUGCAAUCUUUUGAUGAAAAACUUAAUUUGGAAAUUUCUAUACCUAGAAAACUUAACGAUGAGUGGGAACCUACUAUAAAGAUUAAAAUUAAAGAUCAUGAGUGUUAUGCUUUGUGUGAUUUGGGUGCUAGUGUUUCCACGAUUCCGAAAACUUUAUGCGAUAUUCUAGGUUUCCAUGAUCUUGAUGAUUGCUCUUUAAAUUUGCACCUUGCGGAUUCCACCAUUAAAAAGCCAAUGGGAAGGAUUAAUGAUGUUCGCAUUAUUGCAAAUAGGAAUUUUGGUUCCCGUAGAUUAUAUCAUUCUUGACAUAGAUUGCAAUCUUUCAUGUCCUAUUAUUCUUGGUAUACCUUUCCUUAGAACGGUUGGUGCGAUUAUUGAUAUGAAGGAAGGGAAUAUUAGAUUCCAAUUUCCAUUAAGGAAAGGCAUGGAGCACUUUCCAAGGAAGAAAGUCAAAUUACCUUAUGAAUAUAUCAUGCGAGCUACUUAUGCAUUAAGUGCCAAAGAUGGCACUACUUAGAUCUAUCCUCGCUUUUAUGCCUAGCUAGGGGCGUUAAACGAUAGCGCUAGUUGGGAGGCAACCCAAUUUUAUUUUAGUUUUUUUGUUUUUGCUCCUGUUUAGUAAUAAAUUUUGCAUCUACCUUCCGUUUAGAUGUGUUUUCAUGUUUUAAUUAGUGUUUGUGCCAAGUUGAACCUAUAGGAUAACCUAUGGUGAUAGUUAAUUUGAUUCUGCUGAAAAACAGAAACUUUGCGCGCACGAAAAUAAUUUAGUCAUUCACAGAAACGUGCUUUUGCGUUGAUUCUUUUUUUGUAGAUCAAUAGACAAGUUGCCCAGCAUUUCCUAUUUUGGUAGGAUUUUUAGAGUUCCAGAAGUAUUCGAGAGUUACAUAUUGCUUCAGACUGUUCUGUUUUUGACAGAUUCUGCUUUUCAUGUGUUGUUUGCUUAUUUUCAUGCAUCUAUGGCUAGUAUGUAAGGGUAUGAACCAUAGAGAAGUUGGAAUACAGUAGGUUUAACACCAAUAUAAAUAAAGAAUGAGUUCAUUACAGUACCUUAUGUGGUGGUUUUUCUUUCUUGCACUAAUGGAGCUUAUGAGAUUUCCUGUUGAGUUUUGUGUUGUGAAGUUUUCAAGUUUUGGGUAAAGAUUUGAUGGACUAUGGAAUAAGGAGUGGCAAGAGCCUAAGCUUGGGGAUGCCCAAGGCACCCCAAGAUAUUCAAGAAUAGCGAAAAGCCUAAGCUUGGGGAUGCCCCGGAAGGCAUCCCCUCUUUCGUCUUCGUUCAUUGGUAACUUUACUUGGAGCUAUAUUUUUGUUCGCCACAUCAUAUGUGUUUUGCUUGGAGCGUCUUGUAUAAUAUUAGUCUUUGCUUUUUAGUUUACCACAAUCAUCCUUGCUGAACACACCUUUUGGGAGAAACCCACUUGAUUGGAAUUUAUUUGAAUACUCUAUGUGCUUCACUUAUAUCUUUUGAGCUAGAUAGUUUUUGCUCUAGUGCUUCUCUUAUAUCUUUUAGAGCACGACGGUGGCUUAAUUUUGAAGAAAUUAUUAAUUGCUCAUGCUUCACUUAUAUUAUUUUGAGAGUCUCUUAGAACAACAUGGUAUUUUCUAUGAUUAUAAAAUUGGUCCUAGAAUGAUGGGCAUCCAAGUUGGGUAUAAUAAAAACUAUCAUAGGAAGUGAAUUGGAUGCUAUGAUCAAUUUGAUACUUGAUAAUUGUUUUGAGAUAUGGAGGUAGUGAUAUUAGAGUCAUGCUAGUUGGGUGAUUAUGAAUUUAAAGAAUGCUUGUGUUGAAGUUAGCAAGUCCUGUAGCAUGCACGUAUGAUAAAAGUUGUGUAACAAAUUUGAAACAUGAGGUGUUCUUAGAUUGUGCAUCCUUAUGAAUGGCGGUCGGGGACGAGCGAUGUUCUUUUCCUACCAAUCUAUCCCCCUAGGAGUAUGCACGUAGUGCUUGGUUUUUGAUGACUUGUAGAUUUUUGCAAUAAGUAUAUGAGUUCUUUAUGACUAAUGUUGAGUCCAUGGAUCAUACGCACUCUCACCCUUCCAUCAUUGCUCGCCUCUUCGGUACCGUGCAUUUCCCUUUCUCACCUUGAGAGUUGGUGCAAACUUCACUGGUGCAUCCAAACCCCGUGAUACGAUACGCUCUGUCACACAUAAACCUCCUUAUAUCUUCCUCAAAACAGCCACCAUACCUAGCUAUUAUGGCAUUUCCAUAGCCAUUCCGAGAUAUAUUGCGAUUCAACUUUCCACCGUUCCGUUCAUCAUCAUGACACACAUUAUCAUUGCCAUAUUGCCUUGCAUGAUCAUGUAGUUGACAUCGUAUUUGUGGCAAAGCCACCAUGCAUAAUUUUUCAUACAUGUCACUCUUGAUUCAUUGCCCAUCCCGGUACACCGUCGGAGGCAUUCAUAUAGAGUCAUAUCUUGUUCUAGUUUUGGGUUGUAAUUCAUGAGUUGUAAGUAAAUAAAAGUGUGAUGAUCAUCAUUAUUAGAGCAUUAUCCCCAAAUAAAUAAAUAAAAAGAAAGGCCAAAGAAAAAAAGAAAGGCCAAAUAAAGAAAAUAAAAAAAAGGAAAGGCCAAAAGAAAGAAAAAGAAAAGCCAAAAGAAAAAAAGAAAAAAAA
rnacentral:lncRNA from 1 species